CUAGAUCCGUCCAUGCUUUUACAAAUUUCUCUUUGUAUAUCAGCCAAGUGUCUUGUAGGUACUCAAUCAACUGUGGAUGAUUCGCGUAAUCGUCCACUAAAACUCUGUAAUUCCGGUCGAAAUCUUCUUCACACACUGAUGUUACCAAAGUUUGCCACGGACCGAGUACAAAAGCAAAUCCUUGACGUCUACUAUUGCCAAAACACUUUGAAGCACGACGCCCCACAUUCAUGUUAAUGUGCCAAAGACAUAAUAGAUGAGGCACAGUCGGAAAUACAUUCUCUAUCACCUUUAAGAGCCCUAACUCGCGAUCAGUCACGAGUGCACUAGGUAGAGUAUGUGGGGGGGAAAGUCUCUUCAGCCUUUGCAACACCCAUGUAUAAUUGUCUUCAUUUUUAUGGCGCAUAAAUACCACUCCAACAGUAAUUUUUUUUUCCGACAGGAGUAACACCAACAAUCUCCAACAAAGGCAAUUUGUACUAUUGGUUUUGUAAGUACUUUCAAGUAGUAUAACGUACGGAAACUUACUUAACAAUUCGACAAAUAGAUGGUGAGCCCACAUCAAAUCAAUAACUGCAUGUGUCGUUUCAUCUGUACGGAACCACUUGUAAUAGUUAUGCUCCUCAAGCAACCCAAUCAAAUGUUGCAUCACUAUACGGUCACCCCUAGCUAAUCUUCUCAAUUUCGCCUUUUCAUUGUAUAUUUGUUUCGAAUAAACAUCGAGACCCAAGCCAUUUUGUCUCAAGUUAGCCAAAAUCUUCUUGGGCGGCACAUGACUUUGUGAAAGAUCCUUGAUAAUCUUCACCUCCGCUUCAUUCAAUGCACUAAUCCCAUGCUCAGACAUGUAUAUCAGAAAAUGACUAUUCUUCCCAUAUACUAUUCUGAGCCCCCAUCUAUCGUCCAACCGCCGCUCUCCGACAAUUUGAAAACCACAAUUUAUUUUUUUGCUACCAGACCUUUUCGAGGCCGCCUCUACGUUACUUUCUCGGGGCCCUCCGAACAGGUCACAAGUCAGACACACUUUCUUUGUUUUGGGGGCAUUUUUUUUAAUUAAUCUCACGAAAAGAGCUCUUGCAACGAACCUAGCCCAAGCCACUAACUCGUCCCCCGAGUCAAAAAAUUGAGUUGUUGUAAAAUAAUCGGUAUGAUCAACUUCAACUCUAGACGUAUUGUCCUGAAAAAAACAUUAAAAAUUUAUUUUAAAAAAAUAAUAAAAAAAAAAAAUAUUUGAACCGGACGCCCAAAUAAGCAGUGCACGCCCAAGUUGGGCGUACAGUUGGCUGCCGGGCGCCCGCAUUGGGCGUGGAGCUGCCAACUGCAUGCCCAACUUGGGAGUGUACAGCUUAUUUGUGCGCCCGAGUUGGGCGUUUGGACAAUUUUCCCAGUUUUUUCGAUCGAGAAAACGGAAUUUUUACCUCGUUAGAUCCGCUAUCACGAUCUUCAUUCGAUGAGCUCAUUUGUGUUCGUAUAUCACACCAACAAGAAUGAUUUUUAAGCAAAUUCCCUUCAAAAGCUUCUUUUUCUAGAGAGAGAAUAUUUUAAUAAUAAACCGCAAAUAGCAAUUUUACAACCGCGAAAAGCAAAUCCCUUACAACAUACACAAGGAAUUUGUGCAAAUAACUCUUUCCCUCUAUCUCAUAAAAUAUCAUGAAUAGUGAAUAACCUUUAAAUUUGUAAUCAACCGCCUUCCAUUAAUCCUCAUAUAUUCUAAGUUCUUUUUUUUUUAAUGAAACCUUAAAAGCUAAAACAAUAUUUUAAUAAUCGUCCAAUUUGAACAAAUUUCUGGUCAGAUUGUGUUGAAUAAAAUGUAGCACAUUUUUUUUAUUAUUUCACCGAAAACAACAAUAUCAAAAAUAAUAAUAAUAAUAAUAAUAAUUUAUAUCUACAUAAGCACCUAAGGUGAAGAGGAUGUGAUUUUGUGGUAAAGAUUCUAGUGGAAAAUGGUGGGGUUUUUUGUGAAUAAUCUAAUUAGUUUGGUGGUGGACAAUUUAUAAAUUUGUACAUAAUAUAGGUGAAAGAGAAAACAUGGGUAAAAUCGAAAAUAUAUUUAAUUUGGUUGUGAAAUAAGAUAUUUUAAGGGUGAAAAUAGCACGUCUCCAAGAUUAUCUUAAAUUAUAAUGGGUUCAUUCAAUCAUGAAACAAAUAUAUUGGUUAUUGGUUCAUUCAAUCCUGUAACAAAAGAAACCCUCCGAGUACUUUUUUUUUUUUGUUCUUUUUCUUUUUUGAUAGGAACUUACAUAUAUUAAUAGAGGAGAAAACAAGGAAAGACUAUGGGUGCAAGUCAGAUGCAAUGGACCGAAAUCGACCUCUUUGAAAAAAACAAUUGGAUCUUUCCAGACAGAGCCGGCUCAAGCCUAUAUGGGGCCCUAAGAAAAUCUAAAAUCUCCUCAUAUGAAUCACAACAUGCGAGCAGAAACCAAUGCCCUCACAGUCAACUUCAAAUACUAAUUGACAACUGAACGAGGUUUAUUAUUCUGAGAUGCAUAGUGCCAACUUAAAUUGCCUAGAAAAACUGCCAGGAAAAAAAACCUUAACUUGCUCAAUGCAUAUAAGACCACUUCAAGAUUUAUACUAGUCACUUGAUCUGAACAACUAAAAGCACAAACAAUUCCAGUUGCAAAAUAACAGAAAACCCGAUAGAAAUAACAUCCCAACACUUUUACGACCGCUUUCAAAAUCUAAGGCAAGAAACAAAACUCUGUGCAUAAACAAAAGAACACCUUACAUGAAGACACAAGGCGGGGUCUUAUUGCAAGUCAUGGUCUCAUAUUUUGUAGUGAAGUUCACGAGUCAAGUUAAUAUGAUAAAAAUGUCUCCCAGAAUCGAGAAAUUCAUGAUAGGGAUUAACUGAAGACUGCCAAAGAAAAAUAAAGUAAAUACAAAAUCACAGCUCCGGAAAAGCGAACCACCGAAAGAUAAAAAGUCAAUAACCAACAAGCAAAAGAGUCGAUAUUCUCGUCAAACAAUAGGCAAAAGUUUAGUUAUGAAUAAGGUUUUUAAACUCUAAGUCAAAAGCCCAAGGGAAUAUCAAUAUAAACAUUUGUUUUAGUAGUCCUACCGAAUUGCAGUAUUACUAGAUUACUUAGGAAAGUGAAUUUCGGACAAAUAGAGACUUCAGAAACUAGUGAACCUAGGAUGGCAUGUUAACUAAGAAGAAUGCAAGAAACAGAUUUAAAAUGCCACUAUUCAAAAUAAAUUUUAGGGUAAAUUGCAUUUAACCCCCUUGUGGUUUCACCGUUUGGCACUUCACCCCCCUCUGAUAUCGAUUUAGGCACUUAACCCCCCUGUGGUUGUCAGAUUGUAGCGGCCGUCUAAUAAUCCGUUAAAGUUAACCGUGAGUGUAUCUCACUCACCCAAAAUUGAAGUGGUUGAAUGUUUCUCCAGCUGAAUUUUUUGAUAAUGACCAUGUUGUCCUUUUGCCUUCAAUAAAAACCCUAGACCAAUCUCUCAUUUUUAUUUUAAUUAAAAAAACAAAAAUAGAAAUUUCUAAACUUUUUUUUUAGUUCCGUAUUACAUAAUUUAAACCUUUAUAUUAAUUAUUUUUUAAAUUACAUAUAUGAAUUCUUUUGUAAUUUAUUUUAUAUUUUUCAAAUAAAUUUAUGUUUGAUUAGUUGAACUUCAGCCUUCUUAUAUAUAUAUAUAUAUAUAUAUAUAUAUAUAUAUAUAUAUAUAUAUAUAUAUAUAUAUAUAUAUAUAUAUAUACAUAUAUAUAUAUAUAUAUAUAUAAUAAUAAUAAAAAAUAAAUUACAAAAUCUGAAAGAAAAAUAUAAUGAGGCGUGAAUAAUACAACACCCAGGAGAACAGAGAGAAAUAGAAAUAAGAAAUUGUUCUUCAAUCAUCGGUCAAUCCAUUCAAUUUCUCCAAAUUGUUGCCGUUCUGAACAUCCGUUUUUUAUUUUCCUUACUUCAAUUACAAAGCUACGAUCUUUGGAGCCAAAGCAGAUUUCCAGUUCUAUGUUCAGUCCGCUGCCGGCGCCGCCGUCGUCAUCGUCUUCGCCACCGUUGUCGUCGUGGGUCAUGACCAUAAUAUCAAUCCGCCGCCGACCAUCACCAUGACCUCUUUUUCGAUUGUGUACCUCUUUUAGUUUCAAUUUUCAGAAUCGAAAAAACCUUCAACCACAGGAAUGACGAUAAGGAGACAGAACCAUGACCAAGGAGAACCUUAAGUUGCAUAGAUGUCCUCGAAGAAGACAAAAAAGCGCGAAUAAUGGAUUUUGAGACGCAUUUGUUGUUCCGAUGAUUUUCUUUUGUCGUCUCAGACGGAUUUGUUUUUAAGGGAUUGGAAUAGUUGGGGCGAAUUUGAAGGUGAAGGAAAAGAAGAAGAAAAUUAGGGAUUUAAGAAGUUAUGGAAAUUGUAGUUUAGUCCUCUCAAUUUGGGCUAUUUAUAAUUAAAUUAUGGAAGGGCAUUUUCGAUAUUUAACGUUUUCUGUUAGUUUAUUACACGGCCGCUACAAUCUGACAACCACAGGGGGGUUAAGUGCCUAAAUCGAUAUCAGAGGGGGGUGAAGUGCCAAACUGUGAAACCACAAGGGGGUUAAAUGCAAUUUACCCUAAAUUUUAUAUUCAGCAAGUUUAUGAAAAUAUAAAACAAAAAUUCAAAUCCAAAUCAGUACAUUAUAGUUUAUAAUCUAUGAUUACAUAACUCUGGAUUACUAGAAUCCUAAACAACUAGAGUAAGAACUAAGAACGUAUAAAAUAGAUUAUAGGUACCGUCAUGAAUUAUAGCCAAGACAUUAUAUAAACAGAUAAAAUCUAGCAGAUAAUCAUCCAUAAAUUAUAAAUUAUUAUUUAAAUAAUCCUAUUCAAGAUUAGAAAAGUUAAUAAAUUAAAGAUUAUAGAUUAUUCAAUUAUAACUGGGGGUAGAGCUAUAAAUAUGUCAUUAUGAUUACCUUAAAUCCUGCUAAGGAAAUUGAGAAACCAGCAUAACACCAUCAACUCAGCAACCUAGAGCUCUAGGAAGUACUGGGAAAUUGAGAAACAAGCAUAAUACAGCUUGUUUUACUGAACAAUAAAUACACAACCAAACAAGCCACAAAAAGAAACCAGAGGACAUGCAGAAAAAAGUUCAAGAAGCCACACGUAAUUCGAUUAUACAUUACUAAGUCUAUAUGUAGAAAAAUGAAAAAAGUUAACUCGGAUUUUUGAGAGAGCUAUAUAAUCUCCAUGCUUUUUUUUUCGCAUCAAAAGUUAACUAAUCUUGGCAAGUAAAAUUUAUUUCCAAAGGCCAAAAAAGGGUGAUCUGAUAGAGCAAUGAAGACAGCUCUUUCAUGAUAUAAUUAAUAAUUAAUCCAACCAGUUUAGACAGAAAUAGGACAGACAAAUCACAUACUUGCAGCCAAAAGACAGAUUGCCGUCAACAUUAAAAACACAGAGAGCAAUUCAGACUAAUAUUUGGUAUCAACACAUUCAUUACCAGAGACAGAUUCAUCUGCUGCAUAAAUAGGGUAUCUUCAAGAAAUUCGUUAACCAAGAAACGUAAACAUGGUCAAUAGCCCUUCACAUGAACAGAACAGGCCAUAAUGUAAAGUCUUUCAAAGUGUUGACCCAAACCACCAUAAUAUAAUAGAUUUAGUUAAGGAUCAAAAAUUUUCAAAGAUAACCAUAAAACACAACAAAUUAAAGCAACAAAUAUCUAACAAACACAACCCAAAAACUCCAACGAACAAACUGCCGACAACAGAAAUCACUAAACAAAUGGAGGAUGUUCGAUUAAACGAGUCCCCGCAAGAAGGAAGCAGAGAUAACACCCUUAAAAGGCCUGACAAUAUAAAUUUCACCUUCACCAAAUAUGCUGGUUAAUGAAGUGAUGAUGAACGGUCAGAAAAUUCCAAUGACAGAGAGUCGAUGGAGAGCAGUUAACAUAUAAUAGGGCCGAUCCCAUCUAGGUUCUGCACAAAAAGGCGAACAAACCCCAAAACCAGAAGAACAUAGAGAUCAAACAACCAUAGAACUAAACUCAAUGGCAGGGAAGGAGAACAGACUUGUGGAAUUUUCUAAAUUCGAGAGCUUUGUGACACAAACCACAUUAAUGCAUAAUCAUGCAUUUCAGUUCAGCCUAUUUUACCACUACCACGGGUUCUGCAAAAAAGGCGAGCAAGUCCCAUAACCAGAAAAACAUAGUGAUCAGACAAACAAAUAUCUAAAAUCAACAGUAAGAAGGAAGAACAGAUUGCCUGAACCUGGAUGAUUCCAAUUACACAAGAAGCAUUACAAUGCAAAACAGUAAGGAAACCUAUGUCUCAAGUAGAGAAUAAAAAUCAAGGACAGAUCAGGAAGCACAAGACAAAAUGAAACAUCGAGGCAGCGAGGAGGUAAUAACACACAUGGGAACAGAAGUCCUAUGAAAUAAAUAAAUCACAAAAUGUGCCUUGAUCGCAUUAGUUGCUUUAGACAAGAAUUAAACCUCAGAUCCCAAAACCCCAAAACAACUAGGUUGUGAGGCGAGCAAACCCCAAAACCCCUCCUCCUUUACCCGGCUUGGGACCGGCUGUGCUGAGCAAAUAAAAUAUUGCAGGCACAGGCGGAGUUACAAGAAUAAACCUAUAUACAACUACCAACAGUAAAACACACACAUAAUCACACAUAGAUAUAAGCAAGCAAAUUGUACAUACCUUUCCAGACAACAAAUAUUAAAGGCUGCAGAUAUUUGCAAGACGAAAAUUACUAAGUGCAAGACCUUACUUCAUGCAAGACCAAAAUAUAAAUAAAUUUACUAAGAUCAAGACUGGAAAUUACAAAUAUAACCCCAAUAAUAAUUUAGAUAUUAUUAAUUUAAAUUAAGUUAAUUGCUAUUGCAAGACCAAAAAAAAAAUACAAAAAAAAGAAUAAAAAAGAAAAAAGAAAAAAGAGAGGGAACUCACUCACCCAACAAAACACCAACAUCUUCUUCUUCACCCUCAUUUUACACAUUUUUUUCCACAAAAAAAUCUUCCAUAUUCUCCAAAACCCUUAUCACAUAAAACCCUCAAAUCUUACUAAAACUUGAAAAGAAGGACAUUAUGGAUACACAAGACAUAAAUAUGGAGGAUUCUAAGGUCGAAAAACACAAAGAGGUAAGAAAUAUUGUACUUUGUGAUCGUUUUUCUCGUUUUUCGCACCUCAUUUCACGUACAAAAAAAUCGACAUGUACAGGUCGAAAUAUCAGCUUUAUAUCGACACUGCAGUGUCGAAAAUGUCAAAAUAAUUCGACACCCAUUAACUAUCGAAUUAUAUUGAAAUUAUCGACAUUCUGGUGUCGAUAUUAAGCGGAUAUUUCGACGCUAGUGUGUCGAAUUAUCACUGUUACAAUUGUGUAACCAAUUUUCCGAUUUUUCUUGCAGAGUUUUGUACCAGAAAUUUGUUUAAACAAUCGACACCAGUGUGUCGAAAAUUUUCCAAAAAACCGACAAGUACAGGUCGAUUUUUGUAAAACCGCAACUCCUUCAACAUUAGUGCUACAAUCGAACCCUAGAAUCAUCAACUAUGUUCUAAAACGACUUGAAUUCAUUAUUCUAACAAUAAAAUCAUGUUUAUCACAUUUAUUUCUCAAAAAAAAGUUAAUUCAAAAAGUAAUUUUUACUUGUUUUUCGUGAGAUUGUUGCGGCGGGGUUGGGGAAACAACGGAGUUCAACGGCGACGGGCGACGGCGGUGGACUUCAACGGCGACGGCGGUGGACUUCAACGGCGACGGCGACGACGACGGGGCGACGGCGACGGGGCGGCGGGCGACGGGGCGACGAACGGUUUUUUGCUGCAAUUGAUUUUUUUUGUUUUCUUCAAUCUUCCCUCCUCGUUUUGAUUUUGUCAAUUCAAUUUCUUUUUUCUUUUUGUUUUAUUAAUUUUUUUUUUAAAUUGGUCUUGCAAAAGAAAAUUAAUAAAAUAUUUUUUUUUGUUUGUAUUUUAUUAAGGUUAUUAUAGUCUUUUUAUACUGAAUUUAAUAAAAAAAAUUAAAUUGGUCUUGCACUAAGUAAAUUUCGUCUUGCAAAUAGUCGCUGCCAAUAUUAAAAGCUUAGUUACUACAAAAAACUUUCGUACACGUUUCAAUCAUUCAUUUCCCUUUUUUUUUUCCUUUAAAUUAUUGUGGCGAACAUUACUAAUACUUACACAUUUACGCAAAACUAAAUCUUAAUCAAAUAAAUUCAUUGAGACUUGAAAAAUGCAUCACUUUAGCAUAUUACCAGUAUUAGAUAAAAACAUUAACUUACAAUGUGCAAAUAAAAAUUUCUCACACUAGAAAAUUCCCACGUAGUACAAAUCACAAUGAACUGACAAAGAACUGUGCAGACUACAGAAUGGUAUUCCAAAGCAUAUUCAAUUGAUUUUAAACAUCCUCAAAACAGCAGAGCAGCAAAUCUAAAGUCUCCUCAUAAGAAUCACAAAAUACGAGCAGAAACCGAGGCCCCAACGGCAGCCACAAAUGUAUCAUAACAUCAACAAAUCCUACAAGUGCGAAAUCCAACAUGGGCAACUGAACCAGGUUUACUAUUCUGGGAUGUAUAGUCCCCACUUCAAGAAUGUGUAGAAAAAUUGCCAGGACGAAGAACCAAAUCUUCAUAGACUAAAAUAGCUCAAUGCAUAUAAGAACACUUCAAAAUUUAUAAAGCAAAAGGAGAGAUCUUUAGAAUAACUACUCACUUGAUCUGCAGAAGCAGCACGUUGCACACCAGUAGUGCAUUAUCUGACCAACUAAAAUCACAAACAAUUCCAUUGCAGAAUGACAAUAAAACCGAUAGAAAUAACAUCCGAACACUUUCACGACUACUCCCAAAAUCUAAGGCAAUAAAUAAUACUUUGGGAAAAAACCAUGUCAAGAAACUAAAGAAUACCAUACAUGAAGACACAUGGGGGAUCUUACAGAAACUUAACUGAAGAAUAUUACAUUAGGGCUUUUUUGGGACGGCUGAACGAAGAUUUGAAGGCAUAGUCUUACAUUACCAUGGAUUUCAUUGUGGGGCUGCCUAAGUCUAGAAGAAAAGAUGCUAUUUGGAUAGCGGCGGAUAGGCUCACCAAGUACGGGCAUUUUGUGGCCCUUACUCGCGCCAUAUCACGGGAGGUCACUCUUAAGUCUAGAAGAAAGGCUACUAUUUUGUUAGGGGUGGAUAGGCUCACCAAGUACGGGCCCAUACUCGCGCCAUAUCACCGGAAGUUACUCAUAAGUAUAGGAUGCUACUUGGAUAGUGGUGGAUAGGCUCACCAAGUACGGGCCCAUACUCGCGCCAUAUCACCGGAGGUCACUCUUAAGUCUAGAAGAAAGGAUGCUAUUUGGAUAGUGGUAGAUAGGCUCGCCAAGUACGGGCCCAUACUCGCGCCAUAUCACCGGAGGUUACUCUUAAGUCUAGGAUGCUACUUGGAUAGUGGUGGAUAGGCUCACCAAGUACGGGCCCAUACUCGCGCCAUAUCACCGGCGGUCACUCUCAAGUCUAGAAGAAAGAUUGCUAUUUGGGUGGUGGCAGAUAGGCUCACCAAGUACGGGCCCAUACUCGCGCCAUAUCACCGGAGGUCACUCUUAAGUCUAGAAGAAAGGAUGCUAUUUGGAUAGUGGUGGAUAGGCUCACCAAGUACGGGCCCAUACUCGCGCCAUAUCACCGGAGGUUACUCUUAAGUCUAGGAUGCUACUUGGAUAGUGGUGGAUAGGCUCACCAAGUACGGGCCCAUACUCGCGCCAUAUCACCGGCGGUCACUCUUAAGUCUAAAAGAAAGGAUGCUAUUUGGAUGGUGGCAGAUAGGCUCACCAAGUACGGGCCCAUACUCGCGCCAUAUCACCGGAGGUCACUCUUAAGUCUAGAUUAAAGGAUCCUAUUUGGAUAGUGGUGGAUAGGCUCACCAAGUACGGGCCCAUACUCGCGCCAUAUCACCGAGGUCACUCUUAAGUCAAGAAGAAAGGAUGCUAUUGGGAUAGUGGUGGAUAGGCUCGCCAAGUACGGGCCCAUACUCGCGCCAUAUCACCGAAGGUCACUCUAAAGUCUAGAGGAAAGGAUGUUAUUUGGAUAGUGGUGGAUAGGCUCACCAAGUACGGGCCCAUACUCGCGCCAUAUCACCGGAGGUUACUCUUAAGUCUAGGAUGCUACUUGGAUAGUGGUGGAUAGGCUCACCAAGUACGGGCCCAUACUCGCGCCAUAUCACCGGAGGUUACUCUAAAGUCUAGGAUGCUACAUGGAUAGUGGUGGAUAGGCUCACCAAGUAAGGCCCCAUACUCGCGCCAUAUCACCGGAGGUUACUCUUAAGUCUAGGAUGCUACUUGGAUAGUGGUGGAUAGGCUCACCAAGUACGGGCCCAUACUCGCGCCAUAUCACCCGCGGUCACUCUUAAGUCUAGAAGAAAGGAUGCUAUUUGGAUGGUGGCAGAUAGGCUCACCAAGUACGGGCCCAUACUCGCGUCAUAUCACCGGAGGUCACUCUUAAGUCUAGAAGAAAGGAUGCUUUUUGGAUAGUGGUGGAUAGGCUCACCAACUACGGGCAUUUUGUGGCACUUACUUGCGUCAUAUCACGGGAGGUCACUCUAAGUCUAAAGGAAGAGAUGCUAUCAUUGAAAGAAGACCUAAAUGCCGUGCCAAAUAAAUAAUCAUUCAAAGAAGACCUAGACAGUAAGGCAGAGAAAAGAAACAUAUAACAUAGGCUCCCAAUAAUUAGACUGUAAGCAAGUAGAGAGUAAAAAUGGAACUACGACAUAAGCCACAAAAAAAAGGUAUUGACUGCGGUAAAAUAACCUAUCUUCCCGCUUAGCCAAUAGGUAAUCCUGUCCAAAGGGUCCAAAAUAAGGAGGAUGAGAGAGAGAGAGAGAGAGAACAAUAUAUGGAACUGACGGUUGUCUCAGAGCUGAGUUCCACUUUCUUACCACACCUGUGGAACAAAACAGUCCAAAGCAACAGCCGAAGGUCGAGGAGUAUCAUAUUGCAAGCAAACAUCUUACAUGGUAACCAAACUUCUAACGACUUCACACAAAAUAAAAACAAAACCAGGAUAAGGAUAAAAUACUCAAACUUGAAGCUCUGUCUUCUACAAAAAAAUCAUAUUUUAACUAUAUCCGUCGAAGUCUAUGCCAUCUCAUAUAAGAAAACCAAAUCAAAGGACCAUCAGACACCAAACAGAGAGAACAUAAUCAAAACUCAAACAAUCGGAAAACAGAGAAAAUAGGGGGCCAUGACCAAACAUCAUACCACAUGCUGUAUCAAAAUCAUCCAAAUAAGAACAGGAAAUCUUAAAAACAUAUGGUCAUAUAAACAAGAAAUCUGAAAAUUGAAUGAGAAGGACGAUGAUUGCAUAAGAAUAUAUCAACAUAUUACAGAAUCAGAAACAAAAGAAAAAUCGGUAAGCUAAUUAAAUCACAAAAUAAAUUAUCUUUUGUCAUCAGAUCCAACCGAGAUCUCUAGCUUAAGCAAUUGGCGAUCCUAUCCACAUUAUCCAGGUGUGCAUAAGCUCUAGUAAAAUCAGAUCAAUCGUUCUAGUUGCACAAUUAGCUUAGCUCCAUAAAAUAAAGAUGAAACCUUUCCUAAAACCACAAAACAAAAAGUACCAAAUAGUGAUUUAAAAGAUACAUUAAAAAAAAUUGUGAUCUACAGUUAGGGAAAUCAAAUUUAUCAUAAGGAGAAUCAAAUUUUAAUAGGCAGAACAGAGAGAAGGUUUACCAGACACUCUGCUUAGAAUCAGCCAAAAGAACAGAACAACAAAUUGUCAUAUAACAAACCUUCGCCUUCUAAUAUUUUUCAAGCCAGGUUGAGCAAAAAUCAAGUCAGCCGAUUACCAAACCCGGAUCAAAAUCACCAACAGAAAACCAAACCCGAAUCACAAUCAAACGGCCUGGCAAAGAUACGCCGGCGAAUCCACGACGAUCCGAUUAAUCAGACCGGCAAAAUAACCCCAAAUAAAAUCAAAUCCGAAUCACAGUCAGACGAUAUAGAGAGACAGAGAGAGAGAGAGAAAAAAAAAAAUGCGGCGGUUCCGCCGCUGAUUGGAUGGAAUUGCGCAGGUUUCAUAGCGACGACGAUACGAUACAUAUAUAAUCUCUAAGAAGACGAAACGAUAGAUACACAACCAAACUCUGGCGAAAGUUUGAGGGGAUGGGUAUAUAUAGAAGAGUCGGUGAUGAGUGGACUGCUGAGAUUAAUCUGAUCGGAGGGUGAAAAGAGUUACGUAUCCUUCUCGGUUACGCAUAUUAGUAUUUUAUUUUUUUUUCUUAAUAAUAAUAAUAAUAAUAAUAAUAAUAAUAAUAAUAAUAAUAAUAAUAAUUAAUGUCCUGUAUUUGUUGAUUUAAACCGAUUAGUUGAAAAUUGCAAUUAAUUUACAUGAUUGUUCUUCGUUUAUUUUGCAUGUGCUUAUCGCCAUUCCCAAAUUAUUCCAGGAACGAGAAAAUCGAAGACACAUGAAAACUACUUUAUAUAAACAACUAUAUAAACAUGAAAACCAAUAUGUAUAAACAACUAUAUAAACAUGAAAAUCACUAUGUAUGAACAACUAUAAACAUGAAAAUCACUCUGUAUAAACAACUAUAUAAACAUACAAACCACUCUCUAUAACAACUAUGUAAACAUGAGAACCACUAUGUAUAACAGCUAUGUCAACAUGAAAACCACUCUGUAUAACAACUAUAUAAACAUGAAAACCACUAUGUAUAAUAGCUAUGUAAACAUUAAAACCACUCUGUAUAAUUACAAAUUACAAAUUCACUUUCUUGCUCGGAUAAACAACAACAUAACGUUCAAGCAAAACAAACAUGUUCAUACAUCUACAAUUCUCUCGAGAUAACUUCUAAUUGAGAUGUUGGGUUUCGAUAAUCCAUUGAAGACUGAUAUUUGCUGGGUUGAUAACUUUACAAAGUAAAUCGAAGAACAUUAACCCCCUAGCGCCGCCACAGAUCUCUGUAGUGCCAAGCAUAACUCUAAAAAAAUGCAGUGUCUGCGAUGCUACUGUUUUUCGUUUCUCUAUGAAUACAGUUUAUGAUAGUGUAUAAAUGUCUAAGGGUGCAUUUGGAUGGAGGGAUUUGGGGGAGGGAUUUCAAAUCCAUAAUAACAAAUCCCUCGGACUUGUUUGGAUUGAGGGAUUUGGAGAUAGAUUUCAAAUCCCCACCCCUCAUUUUUAGUUGAUUUUGGAGCAAUAGUGAUGGAUUUGAAAGACUCCAAAAUUGGAGUCAUUUCAAAUCCAUUCCCCAAAUCAAAUCCCUCCCCAAAUCCCUCCAUCCAAAUGGACCCUAAGAGACUUUGAAUAUGCUUUCAGCUGAUAAAAAAAGGCUUGUAAUAUUCCAGAUCACGUGGAGGACAAAAAUCGAAGUUAGUGUGCGUGAAUACUUUUGCAGUCUGAAUAUGUAAUUGCAUAUUGAGAGAGAGAGAGAGAGAGAGAGAGAGAUGAGAUGAGCGUGAAUCUGCAAUCAAUGAUUGAGAAAACCAAUAAUUUAAUAUUAAGUUAUAAUAAUUCAAUUUACACUACCCUAACUCUUGUUGGGAAAAUUGGUUAAAAAUUGAGUCAUGAACAAUUUUUAUCAAUGUUAUUGUAUUGUCUAAUUGAUUAUAUAAAUCAAUUUUGGAUUAGAUUAAUAUAAAACCAAUUUUGUGGUGAAUGAAAAAUUACUAUCCAAAAUAUAAGGAAAGUGGGAUUUUGAGUUAUCCCACAUUGGAAAAGUAGAGAAGUACUAAGCUGUAUAUAUAUCUAAAUGUUGGGACAAAUGGUCACGCCCUUUGGGCAUUCAACAUUGUUUGGGAGAAAAGCUUAUAUGUUAUGUGUUUCAAAUCGUGCCCGCGCGCCGCCGCCGUCCGGCUCCGCUCUACUCGCUCGUUCGUACGAACUGACUGGAAUGGAUUUGGGCUUGGGCUUGGGCCCAAAUCACUAUUCCCAAUCGGCUCAACUCGAAAUGGUGCAACCAUUCAGCCCAAAAUGUACCUUUUUGCUCCAAAGGACACUAAGGACACUACUUUUCGAACCUUAUAAAUAGACAAUGUCUUUCCCAGAAUUCCUCACUUCAAUCCAAAAUCAGCCUACUGCAUAUUUAGCCUACCCUUCACAGAUUCUCUCGAAAAGUUCUACACAAAGUACAGUUCGUCGUACUUGGGAUUUGGAGUGCUCAUAUUCCAAAAAUUCUACACAAAGUACAGUUCGUCGUACUUGUGAUUUGGAGUUCUCAUAUUCCAAGCCUUGCCGUUGUAUCUUGGGAGACGAUUUCAGUUCAAGCCGUUAGCACCGUUGCGGGGAAAUUUCGUCUUAAGGACAGAGUUAACUCGCCUCGGCAAAUAUUCGUACAUAGCAGAGAUAUUUCUACAAUCUUAAGACGAAAGUUACAAUCUGCAAAAUGGCCGAACUGUCGUCGCUCACGGAGAAAAACCAGAGAAGUUCAAAGGUAUCAAUUUCAAACGUUGACAACCGAAAUUUCUCUUUUACCUCACCACCAUCAACUUGGCUGUUUUCGUUACGGAAACACCUCCCGAUGUGCCUAAUAUAUACCAACGCUACCUUGGAAACGAGAGUUGCGUGGGAUGCUUGGUUUCAUUCCGACUUCUUGAAUGCUCUAGAUGAUUCACUGUACAAUGUGUAUAGUGCUAUCAAAACCGUUAAGGAACUGUGGGAGUCCUUAGAAAGAAGUACAAAACCGAAGAUGUAGGGUUGAAGAAAUUCAUUGUCGGGAAGUUUUUGAACUUCAAAAUGGUGGACACCAAGACUCUUAUGAGCCAAGUCCAAGAGUUGCAACUCAUCAUGCAUGAUAUUCAUGCCGAAGGAAUGAGGUUGAGUGAAUCCUUUCAAGUUGCUGCAAUGAUGGAGAAGCUACCACCGCUUUGGAAGGAUUUCAAGAAUUAUCUCAAGCACAAACACAAGGAAAUGGGGCUUGAAGAUCUUAUCGGGAGGUAAGUAUUGAAGAAGAUAAUUGAAAGACCGAGUCCAAAACCGGCAAGCAAAAAAUGGAGGCUAAAACACUCCUUAUGGAACCAAACAUGCAUGUUAGCAAGAAAACGAAGGCUCGAGGAAGUGCUAGUGGCGGUGGAAAUGGAAGUAACAACGGCAAAGGAAAAUGGAAGCCAAAGAAGUUCAAGUUCAAUGGAACGUGUCACAAUUGCGGCAAGCCAAAUCACAUGGCAAAGGAUUGUCGUCAACCUAAGAGGCAAGCUAACAUGGUCGAAGACAAAAGUGUUCCUAUCGACAUGUUCGGUGUGCCGUAGUCUUUGAAGCUAACUUUGUGGACAAUCCCAAGGAAUGGUGGCUCGAUACGAGUGCAACUCGCCACAUAUGCUCCAACAAGGAGUCGUUCUCCUCCCUACACUCCAAUGAACGGUCAAAAGAUGCUCAUAGAACUUAAUUAUGCCAAACUAAUGCAGUCCCUAGUUAAUCUAGCCGACCACGUUAAUCCAACAUAACCCUUUUCUAUGGCUACCUUCAUCGCUAUGUGAACUGGAUUACAGCUUACUCUACCAUAGCACUCCCCGCUAACACGGCUUACUGCACUACAGUAGAGGGCUACAUAUAAUCCAACCGUUGGCAGAAGGAAAGAAAUAACUCAACAGUUUGGGUUUUUCUUUAUAGCUUGAAAUGAUUCUUAAUUAGAUUAAGAAUGAGGGAUUUUUAUUAAAAGUUUUAUCUCAUCAGAAGGUUCGGAUAGGUCUAUGUGAUUCCUACAUCUAUGUUCUCUAAAGGUAUAUGGAAACGCAUAUUGUCCUAAGAGGAACAUACGACCUAACUACAUAAUUAAUUACAUUAAUUAAUUAUCGGGGUUUUCAAAAUAAUUAUAGAACCUCAACUAACAUAAAUCAAUCAAAUAAUGUUGAGGUACCAUUAAUUAAGUUAAAGUAUAAUCAAUAUUAUACGUGUGUUCUAUUAAUUGAAAUCAAUUUAACAAUUUAAAUUAAUUAAUUAAUCUAACACCUAUUUAUUAAAAUAGAUGAUUGCUGAUCCGAUUAUCUAAUUGGGAUUAAUUGAAAAUAAUUUUCCAAAAAUUAAAAUCAAUUUGUUUUAAGUUUAAUUUUAGAAAUCUGAAAUAAUUUUUUUUUUUGUUUUUUUUUUUUUUUUUCAGUGAACCGUUCGGCCCAACCGGUCUGGCCGGUUCGGACCGAAGCGGUCCGGUUCUGCCCGGUCCAGUUGACCCAAAUCAGUGGGCCGGGUCAGUCAGACCGAGAACCGGUCUAACCGACCCGAAUCCACUUCGAUUCGGUCAAUUGGAUCGUGCACAACCAUCGAACCGGCCGGUCCGACCGGUUCGAUCCGAACAAUUAAAAAACGACGUUUUAAAAAUAAUUUCAGAUCCGUUUUUCCAAUUUUAAACAAUUUUAAAGCUGGAAAAAUUCUAAACAAUAUUUCAAAUAUUUUAAACUUACGAAAACUCCCAAUUACAUAACACAACAAUCGCUACUUUAAUACAUCAAACAUGCAUAAAAUCACAGCAUAUAUAAACUAACGCAAUUAAUUGCGCAACGAGCUCUGAUACCACUGUUGGGUUUCGGGCACGUGUACGCAGCGGAAACAAAAAUUUAAUGUGAUUUAAACGACUUUAAAGCACACAAGCACAUGCCCGACGAAUUUAAAUCAAUUAAUUGCGUACCUUUGCGCUUCCAGCGAAAUUAAAAACAACAUACAUGCUAAAUAAUUUAACCGAAUUUAAAUCAAUUAACAUGCUCGCGUUUAAACCAAAUAACAUGCUUGCAACGAUUAAAACGAUUACACAUAAUCACAUAAAAUCAUACGGAAGCAAACAUGAAAAUAUAGUUUAAACGUAAACGAAUCGAAACAAGGGAUUCGUGUGUUUACCUCUUGAAGCGUGAGGUAGAAGCGCUUAGCAAGUCGAGAUUGCUACGGAAACCAAUCCGUACAAUCGGGGCAGCAGCGGUGCAGCGGCAGCAGCAGUGAAACGGCCACGGCGGCGCGUGGAUUUCACGUGUGGUCUUCCGGGGCGGCGCGUGGGGUAGCGUGCGGCUUCGGCUCGUGCGCUGCUCCUCGAUUCCUUGAUCUUUGAUCUUCCUCCUCUCGGAUUUCACCUCGUAUACUUCGAUCUACUAAACACGUGGCACUAGACACGUAAUAGUUAGAAAAACGGAAGAAAAAGAGAAUGAAAGAAGCUACCAAGACAAUCGGCCGACGAACGGCCGAUUCCGGUGAAACGGCGGGGUGGACGGCGGUGGUGGCCGCGGGAGAGAGAGGGGCCGAGAGAGAGAGGUGGACGGCAAGGGUUAGGGUUUGUGUUGUGUGUGUGCAAGACCUAUAAAUCAAGUAUUUAUAUGUCUUGCAUAAAACCCUAGCGGGCUUAAGUUGGACCGGGCCCAACAGCUUAAGUUCGUUAGUACUUUUACUUGCUCGUCUCUCUUAAUUCAAUGACCGAAAAAUUGCAACGAUUACAUUUUCGGAAUCAUUAUAAUGUCCUCGUCAUUAUGAGUGCCAUCUCUCAUUUUCCAACUUUCUAAAAGUGGAAACCCUAGUUCAGUGCACUUUCUAAAUUUGGAAACUUCCCGAUUUAGAAAGUUCACUAAUACGUUCGCCUAUUCUUUUCCUUUUCUUAUUCUCAUUCAUAAUUCCAAAUUACGAAUGUUGGACCUAAUCUUAUUGACUUCCAAUCAUGCAAAGAUAAACUAUUUUAUCUCUGACCGUUUAUUCAAAGAUCUCAUGUGCACGAGCAGUGUGACCCUCGAUGGUUCAGGUGUAAGCUAGCCGUGGGCCCACAAACCUUUGUGCUCAAAACUCGUCCCUUAGAGUUACGAUUAAGAUGAAGCUCGUUUCACCUUAAUCACCCAACGAAUCAAGAUUGGCGUCUAGCAACUACGCGUCAUGAUUCCCUAGAUACAAAUGAAGUGCCUGCAAGAACCUUCAGAUAUAGUUAACGUACAGUACGGUCCCUUCGAUUCAUAUGUCCCGAUCGAACUAGAGGAAUUGGUUCAUCGAGACCUCUUUAUAUGUUCGAUGACGGUGCGAUCGUUCUAAGUGUUGUAAUCCUUACGUGCAUGACUUAGAGAAUCGAAUUCUCUAAUCAUCACUUAGUCAGCUCUGGUCAGAGACUUAGAAUGAUUACAAACUUUCAGAACACACAGGACAUCCAAGACUAUUCUAGCGAUCGAAUCCCCGACUACAAUGCACAGACCUCCCACUAGAUUUCGGACUGCACGAACACUGGCCCUUGGGAUGGUCCUCGGUGGAACUCAGGGACAGGUCACGAUACAGCUGGUCCUCUAGUGAAGUCACGGUGAUGUCUAGGUCAUAAGGACUAAUGGUGUACAACUAUACCAUAGAUAUCUCUACUCGAUUAUUGGGAUCCACUUAGAGAUUUCUAGGGUGAGGGAGUUCAGUGAACUCGUCAACUUACGAGCACCCACUUAUGCAUGCCGAUAUCACAAUACCGUUUAAUGAUGAGAUGCAGUACACAUACACUAAGUGCUAGUCUUUUAAUGGGAAAGGCCGAUAUCCUCAUUGGUGGCGUAACCCUUCGACUAGGAACACGUUUAACAGUUAUAAUACUUAAGUAAAUAUCUCACGAUCCUAACGAUCAAUUACUAGUACUUGUAAUAACUGUAAGGACUAUAUCUAUGCUUGUGACAAAGGGACAAAGAUAUAGAAUGCCAAGGUGUUUUAUCAUUAAUACGAAUAAAGGUUCGUUUAUUACAAUAAUAAAUACGAAAGACCACAGCCACAUGUUGGCUUGUUGGUCACCUACUCUAACAAGAAGUACCUAAACCAAAACAAAUAAAAAUUGGGCCUAAAACUGUUGAUUGCAUCUUUAUUCGCUACGCAAACAACAGUAGUGCAUAUCGAUGUUUAAUACACAAGUCUGAUGUUCUUGAUAUGAAUGAAGGCACAAUCAUUGAAUCAAGAAAUAUUUUUUCAGGAUAGAUUUCCCUAUAAAGAAAAAUUAGCAACGAGUUCUAACAAAAGAACAUAUGAAACUGCUAUUGGUGGUUUUCAAAGUGAUGAAGAACCUAGACGAAGUACUAGGGAAAAAAUUGCUAAGUCCUUUGGACCGGAAUUCCUAACAUAUACUAUGGAAAAUGAUCCAAAGACCAUAAAAGAAGCUUUAUCCACUCCCGAAGCGCCGCUUUGGAAAGAAGCAAUCAAUAGUGAAGUUGAUUCGAUUAUGCAAAAUCAUACGUGGGUAUUGGUUGAUCUACCUCCGGGAAAUAAACCGUUGGCCUGUAAAUGGAUUCUCAAAAGAAAUUACAAAGUUGAUGGCUCGAUUGAUAAAUACAAGGCAAGAUUAGUAUUCAAAGGAUUUAGACAAAAGGAAAGUCUAGAUUUCUUUGAUACUUAUUCGCCCGUAACGAGAAUCACAUCAAUUAGAGUAUUUCUAGCAAUUGUUGCCUUGCACAAUCUAGAAAUUCACCAAAUGGACGUCAAGACAGCCUUUUUAAAUGGUGAAUUGGAAGAAGAAAUAUAUAUGGAACAACCCGAAGGGUUUGUUGCUCAUGGACAAGAGUCCAAAGUAUGUAAACUUGUGAAGUCACUUCAUGGACUAAAACAAGCUCCCAAGCAAUGGCAUGAAAAUUUUGAUAGAACAAUACCAAAUGGGUUUAAAAUAAAUGAGUGUGAUAAAUGUGUAUACAUUAAAAACACACCAAAUGAAUUUGUGCUUAUAUGUCUCUAUGUGGAUGACAUGUUAAUUAUGGGCAGUAAUCACGAGAUAACCGUGAAAACUAAGAAAAUGUUAUCGACACAUUUUGACAUGAAAGAUAUGGGUCUGGUCUAGCCGAUGUAAUUUUGGGAGUAAAAAUUAUCAAAAAUGAUAAUGGACUAGUUCUUACUCAAUCUCAUUAUAUUGAGAAAGUACUACGAAAGUUUAAAAUGUUUGAUAGUCCACCUGCUACGACCCCAAUCGAUCUGAAAAUUCACUUAGCCAAAAAUCGUGGAGAACCAGUGGAUCAACUGGAAUAUUCUCAAAUCAUAGGCAGUCUAAUAUACGUCAUGAACUGCACUCGUCCGGACAUUGCUCAUUCAGUUAGUAAAUUAAGUAUAUUUACAGGCAAUCCUGGAAAUGACCAUUGGAAUGCAUUAACUAGAGUACUUAGAUACUUGAAAUAUACUCUAGAUUUUGGUUUGCAUUAUACUAGAUAUCCAUUUGUACUAGAAGGCUACAGUGAUGCUAAUUGGAUAUCCGAUACUAAAGAUUCUAAAUCCACAAGUGGUUACGUUUUCACUAUAGGUGGAGCUGUUGUGUCAUGGAAAUCUACAAAGCAAACAUGUAUAGCUCGAUCCAUAAUGGAAUCGGAGUUCAUAGCUUUAGAUAAAACUGGAGAAGAAGCGGAAUGGCUUCAUAAUUUCCUAGAAGAUAUUUCGUGUUGCAAUAAACCAGUGCGGCAAUAUAGCGGAUUCGUUGACUAAAGGUAAUAUAGUCAAUUAGCAAUUGGAAGGGCACAAAGCAGCAUUUAUAAUGGUAAGUCUAGACACAUUCGUCGCCGACAUAAUACCAUAAGACAAUUGAUCUCAAAUGGAAUAAUUUCUAUAGACUAUGUAAAGUCUAAGGACAAUUUAGCGGAUCCGUUGACUAAAGGUUUACCAAGAGAUCAACUACAAUGCCUAUCUAGGGGUGGGAUUAAAACCCAUCAAUUAAGAACAAUCUUAGUGGUAACCCAACCAUGCUGACAGGAGAUCCCAAGAACUGGUUCAAAAGGGACAAACAACUAAGCUAAGAAAGUUUAGUCGAGCACUAAGGAACUCAUUCCUAACUCAUUCCCGCGAAAGAUAAUAGUGCUACCUGCAGAAAGGGUAAAGGAUAAGCUAACGCUUUUAAUGAUUCCAAAACCUUAUAAUAAAUGUGAGGUAUUGGCAGGAUACCUUUAAUAGGAGAUCACCUAUGUAAGUGUAUGAAGUGAAGGGCGCUUCAAAAACUUGACAAACACUUAUGAAUCCAAGAUGUGUGUCCAUGGACAAAACGGACACAAUCAUGAGAACUAAGAAAAUGUGAGAAUAGUAUUGUGUGGGUUGCAUUGUCUUGGUUUACACGAACGGCUGACAGUUCAAGACAUCGCGUUCACUACUCAGCCUAGUAAAUCCGAUGUAAAUCCACUACGGAAGGUUCAAAGCUAUAUGCUACCUAUCCCGAUGCAAUACUAUUCGUGGGAACUCUAGAGAGAAUCGACGCCCUCGUUUUAAUUCAUGUGGGGGAUUGUUGGGAAAAUUGGUUAAAAAUUGAGUCAUGAGCAUUUUUUAUCAAUGUUAUUAUAUAGUCUAAUUGAUUAUAUAAAUCAAUUUCGGAUUAGAUUAAUAUAAAACCAAUUUUGUGGUAAAUGAAAAAUUACUAGUCCAAAAUAUAAGGAAAGUGGGAUUUUGAGUUAUCCCACAUUGGAAAAGUAUAGAAGUACUGAGCUGUAUAUAUAUCUAAAUGUUAGGACAAAGGGUCACGCCCUUUGGGCAUUCAAAUUUGUUUGGGAGAAAGACCUAUAUGUUAUGUGUUUCAAAUCGUGCCCGCGCGCGCUGUCUGUCUGUCCGGCUCGGCUCCGCUCGCUCGUACGUACGUACGGACUGACUGGAUUGGAUUUGGGCUUGGGCUUGCGCCCAAAUCACUACAUUACUUUUUUGGGCCAAAAACAUUAGGACAUGGGCCGUCAAUCCAUUGGACCCUUCUUACUCGAAGCCUAUCUCGAAUGGUCUGACUGGUUUGAAUUGAUGCGUCCGAACCAAUGCAAACCAUUCGGCUCAAAUCGAAUGGUCUGACUGGUUUGAAUUGAUGCGGCCGAACCAAUGCAAACCAUUCGGCUCAAAUCGAAAUGGUGCAACCAUUCCCAAUCGGCUCAACUCGAAAUGGUGCAACCAUUAAGCCCAAAAUGUACCUUUUUGCUCCAAAGGACACUACUUUUCGAACCUUAUAAAUAGACCUUUCUUUCCCAGAAUUCAUCACUUCAAUCCAAAAUCAGCCUACUGCAUAUUUAGCCUACCCUUCACAGAUUCUCUCGAAAAGUUCUACACAAAGUACAAUUCGUCGUACUUGGGAUUUGGAGUGCUCCUAUUCCAAGCCUUGCGGUUGUAUCUUAAGAGACGAUUUCCGUUCAAGCCGUUAGCACCGUUGCGGGGAAAUUUCGUCUUAAGGACAGAGUCAACUCGCCUCGGCAAAUAUUCGUUCAUAGCAGAGAUAUUCCAACAACUCUAUCGCACGAUCUCAAUUUUUUUUUUCUUAGUUUUCAUUUCUUCUUCUCUAUUCACGACUCCACCCUCUUUCUUUUCUCCACCGCCGCCCUUGUCUCUUCUCUCCACCACCGUCGUGACCCCUCUUUGCCCUCUCUCUCCACCACUCGCCCAUGCUCUCUUCGCGGUGGUAAUAAAAACCAUGCGCUUUUGCAGUCUGGCAUAAACCUCAUCUCCCGUCGGCAUAUGCAAGAUGGGGACAAAGAGAUAAGGGAGUUUUGCAAGGCAAGGCUGCCUUUUUAUAUGGUGCCGAGAAUGUUAGUGUUCAAGGAAGAGUUCCCGAAGCUGGUAAAUUUCAAAAGCUUUUUGCUUAGGGAUAUAUGCUCUUUCUUUUCUAUUGCAAUGUGUAAUGAUACUUUAAUUAGUUCAUUGAUAAUGUAUUAUGUGGGCAGAAUUCGAUCUCCAUUUUUGUAGAGAUCCACUUAUCGAUUAUUUUUGUGAUUAUCAUAUUUUUCUACCAAAAAUUGAUUUUAUAAUUUUUGGGAUCAAAAUUGACUUUAAAAGGUCGACGAAGAAUAUCUUACAGCUGCCAUGGAGGCUGCUGAUGCUAAAGGGAAAUGGGAAAAAAAUUCAUGGGGCAGGAAGUUGAUUUGUUCACAAGAGAUGGGCUGCUCUAAAUGACUUUGACCGGUUUACAUUGAUGCUUACAAAGAUCAAUAGGCUAGGGUUGUUCGACAGAUGCGAAGCUUAAGAAAGAGACCCCUGUUUGAGUAUUAUAGUUUCCUAUCGUUAAGAUUUUGUAGGAUUUUGAAACUUUUAUCGGCUUAUGUAAACCUUUUUCUUGAAUUUGUAGACAAAAUGGAAAGUCUUUGAAUUUUUUUGUAUUUAACAUUUGGAGUUGCUUGGAAAUUAAUUUUCUAUAAAAAAGAAAAAAUUGGGAUCAGGUUUCGCCUAAAGUCGAUCGGAUCUGAGGGAUAAGUGUUCCUGGUCUGACUUGGAGUGGCAGUUGUUGCCGACAAAUAUACCUGAUGCAGGCCCGGCUAAUAGAAGAGUCGGGGUCGACGACGCUUACAAAGAAUAGUGGAUUUCGAAUUCUCAUGAGUAAUGAAUAGUGGACCAUGCUAGAAUGGCGGGUGGUUGACAGCGCAUAUAGUGAAUAGUGGAUUUCAAAUUCAAGCAGUCCAUAGUGGAUUACGUUAAUUUCACAAUGAAUUUUAUAUAUAUAUAUAUAUAUAUAUAUAUAUAUAUAUAUAUAUAUAUAUAUAUAUCGUUUGUCAUCAAUUAAUCUCCUAAAUGAGUUAUUAUUAGAUCUUGAAUUUUUUUCAUAAUCAUUCUAUCUAAUAAUACUUAUGUUUACAUUGAUGAAUAUUACAAAUUAAUUGAUGAUAAAUCAUACUCUUUUAACACUAAACUUUUUGCUUUUAUUGUGUUAAAAAAAUUGGUCUAUUUACUAUUAAAAUUUAAGUUAAGCAUGUUAACCAUAUAACUUGUGUAGUUUGGAUGUAGAUUUUUCUAUGCAAUACAUAUUUUUUGUUAUGAAUACUAUGCAAUGUCUUAUAAAUAUGUGUACAUAGUUAUUAUAUUAAAGUCUCAUCCGUAGUUUACGAAAUAUAGCUUUAUUUUAAUUUGUAUUUGUAUUUCAGUUUACUUAAGUUUGUUGUUAUUCUUUUGUACUUAUUUGAGUGUAAAAAAUGAAGUAAUUAAAAAUAAAUAAAAAAUCAGUGAUUUCACGUUAAUUGAAACAAAACUCAAGCUUGUGUUUCGUGUAAAACAACACGAAACACAAGCUUGAGUUUCGUGUAAAUUUACGUGAAAUACAAAAAAAAAUGUAUGGUUUCCAAAACAUUAUUUUGUGCUUCUUUGCACAAAAUGCUUCCAUACAUUUCGUGUUAGGGAACACGAAAUGCUCAUGCACGAACCAUGGUUCGAAAAUGGUUUGAGGGAAUUGUGGUUUUUUUUUAAAGUUGCACAUGAAAUAAAGUCGCACUGCAAGCCAGUAAAACCCGCACUAUGAAUAGUAUUUCAGUUUCAAAUAUGAGGCCACCUCCACGCGUUUCUUUGAAUUUCAGUUGCCCCCUUGUUUUGUUGUUUUAACUUUUUGACUUUUGACUGUUUCGAGAAUAUUUGGGCUCUCCGUGGACUAUAUAAAAUAGAUUGAAACUUGGGCUUAAGUUUUUUUUUUUUUGAGAAACUCUACGAGAAAUAAGUUAAUAAUUAAUAAACAAUGAGAUUCUAUUUGAAACUGGAUUAAUUUAAUAAUUUUGAGAUGAAAAAGGUGAGUUUUCCUUAUAAAUAGCACACAAUUGUGCUGGUGAGUUUAUUUGAUACUACACCGGGUGAGUUUUAACCAUUGAUAUGGUUAAAUUACCACCCACUAAGCACACUUUCACAUGGUUGUUUGUGAUUAUAUGCAGAUCAACAGUUAAUAAUCACCCGGUGUAUUUCACUGGGUGUAGCAUCAAAGAAACCUUCAAGACAUGGAACACACUUGAGAAUACAAGAAAGAACAAAAUAAGAAAAAAAUGUUAUAUUUCCUUAUACUUGAACUCGUAUAUUCUUAUUUUGUUUGAAAUCGUUUAGUAUAUUUACAACACGUGAUCAACACGAAUUGCUCUACCAUAUUCCUUCAACCAGUAAGGAUCAUAGGUUUAAUAUAUCACCCUCUAUGAAGCUCAAUUUAUUUUGGAGAAGUAAAAUGUCUGUUAUACGUUUCUUAUUCUCUAUUGUUAAAUAAUCAAGGUAAAUAAAAUAAGAUGGAGAGGUUAUGAAAUUUACAUCAUAUAUAUAUAUAUAUAUAUAUAUAUAUAUAUAUAUAUAUAUAUAUAUAUAUAUAUAUAUAUAUAUGGUAACCCUAGUUGACUAGAGAGUGACACGUGUAUAUUAAUAAUUAUUCAUUGUAUUUGUGCCGUUAGAGUGAGAGUGCUCAUGUGUGGUUGGUGUAAUGCUAUCAUGCCCCUCAAGCCAAGCUGGGAAGGGACGCCGAGGAGGCUCAAACGAAGAAGAGUGGACCAAGUUAUUGAUAAAGGCUUCGUGAAGAUGUCUGCUAAUUGGUCUUUGCUGGAAAGAAAUGAGACUUCCAGUGCUUUUGCUUGAAUCCGAUCCCGUACAAAGUGAUAAUCUAUGUCCACAUGCUUUGUUUGGGAAUGAAAGAUUGGAUUGUUUAAAAGGUAAGUUGCACCCAGAUUAUCACAAAAUAGAAUCGGAGUUGAAGAACAAGUAAUCCCCAAUUCCGUGAGAAGUGAUUGAAGCCAAAGUACAGGUUGCAUUAGCAAGAGCCUUUGUCUUCAGUACUAGAUCGGGCAAUGGUGGACUAUUUCUUUGAGCUCCAAGAGACAAUACUACGACCAAAGAAUAUAUAUACAAAAGCCACCCGUAGAUUUUCUAUCAUCAGGGGAACCGCCCCAAUCGGCAUCCAUAUAGGCUGUCAAGGUAUGUGUUUGAGACGCCGAAGGUGAAGACCAUGAUCGACAGUUUGUUUCAAAUAACGAAUAAUCCGUUUUACUGACUACCAAUGGGAUAGGCAAGGAGAGUGUACCCGAUUCACUGAGAAAGCAAGAUCAGGGCGAGUGAAUAAUAGAUAUUGCAGACUUCCAACAAUACCCGAUAUAAGGAGGAUCUUCAAAUGAGGGAGAAUCAAAGGCGGAUAAUUUGGUAGAAGGUGUCAUAAGACCGCUUACGCAUUUGCAUAUCAACAUAUUCGCUCUUUGAAGAUCAAGAAUGUACUUCCUAUGAGAUAAAAAUAGACCCGAAGAAUCACGGGAACACUCCAAGCCGAGGAAAUAAUGCAAGUCACCCAUAUUUUUCACCGGAAAAUCAUUACUGAGGGAUUUGAUCAAGUUCGAAAUAGCGGAAGAGGAAGAACCAGUUACAACUAUAUCAUCAACAUAGACAAGGAAAAAGAGAACUAUAGAAUCAUUCCGAUAAAUAAACAAUGAAGCAUCAGAUUUUGAAACAAUAAAUCCCAAUUCAACCGAACAAACCACGCUCGGCGGGGGAUGUUUAAGCUCAAUUCAACUUCCACACAUAACUUGGAAAAUCAGGAUGAACAAAGCCAGGAGGUUGUACCAUAAAUACAGAAUCAUCAAGGUGUCCAUGUAACAAGGCAUUCUGAAUGUCUAGCUGAGUGAUGGGCUAAUACACGAUGUAGCAAUUGACAAUACUAACCUUAUUGAUGUCGGUUUGAUCACAAGGCUGAAUGUCUCGGUAUAAUCCAAACCUUCUCACUGCUAGUAGCCUUUAGCUACUAAUCGCGCUUUCCGGCGCUCAAUAGAACCAUCGACAAGAAAUUUGGUUUUAAAAAUCCAACGGCAACCAACAAUAUUUUGGUUUGGAGACGACGUGACCAAGGACCACGUUUGAGUUUUCAUUAGGGCAUCAAAUUCAUUUUGCAUAGCUAAACGCCAUUCAGGAUUUUGGUAUGGUACAAAUUUUAGCAUUCGGACCCAUAGGUAAUAGCGGAAACACCAAACGGAUUAUAGUGUAAAAGUUCGACUGCACCGGUGGUUGUAAAAUCUCAUUGUCUAUCAGUAUAGGCUUGUAUGGCUAUGGAUAGGCGAGGUUGCAUUCAUGGAAGGUAAGAACCCAUGUAAUCCGACAGCUGCCGUAUCAAUAUCACCCCAAAGAAGAACUCGGAAUCUGAAGAUAGAUUUGAAAACAAAGUCAUGCAAAGAAAAAACUGAAAACUCUGAAAUUAACAAGUAUCUCAGAGCAGACUAACCCAGAGCAACGAUCGAGGAAAGGAAAAUCAAAUAUCAAUUAGUAAAACAGGGAGAAGAUUCUUCAUAUAAGUAACGUGUGGAAGGAUACUCAAACUCGAAGCACUUUCUUGUACCCUGAAAAUAACCAAACCAUGACAAGAGAAAACAUUGAUCCGACCCAAAAUUGCAUGAUUAUACAUACACACAUGUUGCUACAUAACCAAAAAAUGUACGAUGGACUUAUCAUGAGACACGUACAGUACUAUAUUGGUUCAAAAGAGACCCUUUAUUUCUUUUUGUGGAUAAGAAAUCAUAUAUAUAUUCAUUGAGAAUGAGAAAACAAGGAAAGACAAUGGGUUCAAUAUCGACCUCUACCAAAAAUACUGAAUAGAAAAAAAUCGGAUACAAAACCGUAUGCAAUUCCAGUUACAAAAGUUUCAGAAUUUUAAAAAUUAAGAACACCUUAUAAAAAUCAAUAACAUGAAUUCCACAGAUACCAGUUGCAAAAAAAAAAAAAAAAAAAAUAGAGAACGAGAUCUAAGAAAGCAAAGAUUACGAGUUAUUAUGAUUCAGAACUUAUUCAACAUCCAUUUCAUGCAUGACGCAAAGACUAAGAUUCCAUUUCUAACGAAAAUUUAGAAAAAUGGGAAAAUUUCACAGUUAGAUUUUCUUGGCCCUCCUCCUUUACCCGGGCUUGGGACCGGCUGUGCUGAGCAAAUAUUGCAGCACAGGCGGAGUUACAAGAAUAAACCUAUAUAUACAACUAGCAACACUAAAACACACACAUAAUCACAGAUAGAUAGAAGCAAGGAAAAUGUACAUACCAUUCCAGACAACAAAAUAUUAAGGCUGAGAAAUAUUUGAUUCAUAUACGAUAAUAGAUUGGAUAAAAGCUUGCAUCAACUCACAAUCUGCAAAAGACAAUUUCACGCACUUGAAAAUUCAAAACAGCAGAUCAUCAAAUCACGAUGAAGAACUGACCAAGAACUGCGCAGAAUGGUAAUCCAAAACAUAUUCAAUAGAUUUUAAACAUCCUCAAAACAGCAGAGCAGCAAAUCUAAUAUCUCCUCAUAAGAAUCACAACAUGCGAGCAGAAACCGAAGCCCUAACAGUCAACUUCAAAUACGGCAGCCACUUGACAACAGUUGUGAUAUUAAGUCUAAUGUAUCAUAACAUCAACAAAUUCCUACACGAGGUUUAUUAUUCGGAGAUGCAUAGUGACAACUUAGCUUGUGUAGAAAGAUUGCCAGGAAGAAAAAACCAAAUCUUCGUAGAUGCAUAUUAAUCGAUGCAUAUAAAACCAAAAAGAGAUGUUCAAGGCCACAAUAAAGAAUACUACUCACUUGAUCUGCAGAAGAAGCACGUUCCACCAGUAGUGCAUUAUCUGACCAACUAAAAAGCACACACAAUUCCAGUGGCAAAUAACAGAGACACCGAUAGAAACAAAACUCUGCAGAAACCUUGCUAAGAAACCAAAGAACACCAUACACGAAGGCACAUUGGGGGGCGUCUUAUUGCUAUUCAUGAUCUCAUAUUUUCUAGUGAAGUUCAUGAGGCAAGUUAAUAUGAUAGUGUCUCCUGGAAUCGAGAAAUUCAUGAUAGGGAUUUACUUUCCAAAGAAAAAUGAAGUAAAUAAAAACCACAGCUCCGUAAAUGUGAACCAACAAAAGAUAAAAAGUUAAUAACCAACCAGUAAAAGAAGAGUCAACAUUCUCAACACAUAGUAGGCAAAGUUCAGUUAUGAAUAAGAUUUUCAGCCUCUAGUUUCAAGCCCAAGAGAAUAUCAAUGUCAACAGUCAUUUUAGUAGUCAUACAACUGCGAUUCUACUAGAUUACUUGGAGAAGUGAAUUUCAGACAAAUAGAGACUUCAACCAUGCUAAUUUCAGUUUAUGAUUCCGAUCAAAACUAAUGGAUUGAAACUAGUGGAGCUAGGAUGGCAUGUUAAUUAAGAAAAAUGCAAGAAACAAAUUUAAAAUGCCACUAUUGAAAAUAAAUUUUAUAUUCGGCAAGUUUAUGAAACUAUAAAAUAAAUAUCCAAAUUCAAAUCAGUACAUUAUUACUUGUAAUUUAUGAAUUAUAUAAAUCUGGAUCAGUAGAAUCCUAAAAAACUAGAGGACGAACAUAAAAAAUAGAUUAUAGGUAGCAGAAGUAAAAGAUUAAACGCGGAACAUGCAGACUAAGCAGAGGUGAGGGAAUUUUAUCGUUGGUGAGAGCAUUUUAUAGCCAAGAUUUUAUAAACAGAUAAAAUCUAGCUGUAAUCAUCCAUAAAUUAUAAAUUAUAAUUCAAAUUAUCCUAUCCAAGAUUAGAAAGUUUUAUAGAUUAAAGAUUAUAGAUUAUAAAUUGCUAAUGUCUAUAUGUAGAAAAAGGAAAAAGGUUAACUCCAUGUUUUUUUUUCGCGUAAUAAAGUUAACAUCAUUGCUUUUGGGGGCUUAUGUUUCCUAUUAACUAACUUGGCAAGUAAGAAUGAUAUCAAAAUUUGCUUCGAAAGGCCAAAAAAGGGGUUUGGCUAAAGGAAAUAUAUCCAAAAAAGGAUGAUGAUAUAAUUAAUAAUUAAUCAAACCAAUUUAGACGGAAAUAGGACAGACAAACAGAAACUCAAACCUACAAAUAAUUUAAUAACUAAUAAUAAAUUUAGUUUAGGACAUUUUUACGACUGCUUUCAAAAUCUAAGGCAAGAAACAAAACUCUGUGCAGAAGAAACAAAAGAACACCAUACAUGAAGACACAAGGGGGUGUCUUAUUGCAAUUCAUGAUCUCAUAUUUUGUAGUGAAGUUCACGAGGCAAGUUAAUAUGACAGAAGUGUCUCCUGGAAUCGCGGAAUUCAUACAGCUCCGGAAAAGCGAACCACCGAAAGAUAAAAAGUCAAUAACCAACAAGCAAAAGAAGAGACAAAAUUAUUAACACAUAAUAGGCAGAAGUUAAGUUAUGAAUAAGAAAACAUCAGUGUCAACAGUCGUUUUAGUAGUCAUACCGAAUCGCAAUUUUACUAGAUUACUUAGAAAAGUGAAUUUCGAAAAAAUAGACUUCAGCCAUGCUAAUUUAAGUUUAUGAUUCCCAUCAGAACUAAUGGAUUGAAACUAGUGGACCUAGGAUGGCAUGUUAAUUAAGAAGAAUGCAAGAAACAGAUAUAAAUGCAACUAUUAAAAAUAAAUUUUAUAUUCAGCAAGUUUAUGAAAAUAUAAAAUUCAAAUUCAAAAAUUAAAAUCAGUACAUUAUAAUUUAUAAUUUAUGAAUUAUAUAAAUUUGGAUCACUAGAAUCCUAAAAAAGUCAACAGAGAACAUGCAGCCUAAGCAGAUAUGAGAGAAUUUUAUCCUUAGUGUAAGCGUAUCAUAUAGUUACCGUCAUGAAUUCUAGCCAAGAUAUUAUAAACAGAUAAAAUCUAGCUGCAAUCAUCCAUAAAUUAUAAUUUAUAAUUUAAAUUAUCCUAUUCAAGAUUAGAAAAGUCAAUAAAUUAAAGGAGCCUAGAGCUAUAAAUAUGCCAUUAUGGUUACCUUAACUUACCUUAAAUACUGCUAAGGAAAUUGAGAAACCAGCAUCAACUCAGCAACCCAGAGCUCUAGGAGGUACUAAGAAGACGAACUAGGAGGUACUAAGAAGACGAACUCAAACAUACAGCUUGUUUACUGAACAAUAAAUAUACAACCAAACAAGCCACAAACAGAAACCAGAGGAUAUGCAGAGAAAGUUCAAGAAGCCACACGUAAUAGAACUAUAUAACCUCCAUGCUUUUUUUUUUUUCUUUUUUUUUCCCACAAUAGUUAACUAGGAUUUCAUCAGUGCUUUUGGGGGAAUAUGUUUCCUAUUAAUUAAUCUUGGCAAGUACUUACGUUAUCAAAAUUUGCUUCCGAAAGCUGAAAAAAGGGUGUGAUCUGGUAGAGCAAUUACAACAGCACUUUAAUCAAACCAGUUUAGGCAGAAAUAGGACAGACAAAUUGCGUUACAAGAAAAAAAACGACAAAUUGCGUUCAGACAAAUAAAUAACUAAAAUCAACAGUAAGAAGGAAGUACAGAUUGCCUGAACCUGGAUGAGUCCAAUUACUCUAGAAGCAUUAAAAUGCAAAUGGUAUGUAAACCCAUGUUUGUUUCAAGCAGAUAACAGAAAUCACAAAAUGAAACAUCGAGGUACUGAUGGUCCUACGAAGUAAAUAAAUCACAAAUUAGUUAUCUUUCUCGUUGUGCCUUGAUCCAAUCAGGUGGUGAUGGAUAUUAGCACAAAGGUAAUAGAAAUACUAUGAAAUAAACAAAUCACAAAAUACAUCAACUUCCCCAUUAUGUCGUGAUCCAGUAGCUAAGACUCUAAACCUCAAAUACAACUGCAUGCAAAGUUAAGAGAAAACGAAACAGACGGGGACUGGGUAAAAAGACACAGAAGGUAAAAGAAGUCCAAUGAAAUAAAUAAAUUAUCAAUUUGAUAUUCCCCAUUAUGUCCCGACCCAAGUAGCUUCCGACAUGACUCUAAAAACCUCAGACCGAACUGCAAUUUAAAGGACAAAUCAGAUUAGAAAAUCAGGCAACAUCAGUGCAGGAAUGGGGUAUUAGAACACAAUAUGGAAAUAAAGAUAUCACUAAUUAUAUUAUCUUCCCCAUUAUGUCUCAAUCCGUUAGCAGCUUUUAAGACAAGACUCUAAACCUCAGAUCAAACUGCAUUUACCAGACAAGACAAAAUUAAACACCUAGGUAGUGACACAAAAAGGUGAUAGAAUUCUUAGGAAACAAAUAAAUGAAAAUUGUAUCAUCUUCCGCAUUAUGUCUCGAUCCCAACAAUAGCUUUAAGGUAAGACACUAAACUCAGAACAACUGCAAUCAAUGGUCAACAGAAUGAAACAUCCAGGUAGGGAGGGUGAACAAAUCAUAAAUUAGUUAUCAUCCUCGUUUUAUCUCUGUCCCAUCAAUGGCUUCAGACAAGACUCUAAACCUUAAAUCCAACUGCAUGUUAGACAAGAGAGAACAGAACAUCCAGGUGGAGAGAGGAUGUAUUAGCACAGAACAAAAGAGUAUAAGUGCCGCGAAAUAAAUAAAUCAGAAAUUAGAUUAUCUUCCCCAUUGUGGAUCGACUCCACCAGUAGCUUUAAGAUAAGAAUAUAAACCUCAAAUCCAACUGCAUGCAAAAUGAAACAGACAGGGACCGGGUAAAAACACAGAAGGUAAAAGAAUUCUGAUGAAAUAAAUAAAUCAUCUAUUAGAUCUUCCCGGUUAUAUCCGGACCCAAGUGGCUUCCGACAAGACUCUAAAAAACUCAGACCGAACUGCAAUUCAAAGGACAAAUCAGAUUUAAAAAUUAGGCAACAUCCUCAAAUCGAACUGCAUGUCAUAGACAAGAGAGAACAGAACAUCGAGGUGGAGAAGGAUGUAUUAUCACAGAAUAAGGGAGUAUAAGCGACGUGACAUUAUUUAAACCAGAAAUUAGAUUAUCUUCCCCAUUAUGUAUUGACUCCGCCAGUAGCUUUCAGAUAAGUAUCUAAACCUCAAAUUCAACUGCAUGUAAUGGACAAAAUAGAACAUUAAGGUGGGGGGAGGGGAUAGAAUUCCCAAGAAAAAGAUUAAUCAUAUGUUAGAUCUUCCCCAUUAUGUCCCAGAAAGUAGCUUUAGAUAAAACUGAACCUCCAAUUGGUCACGGCAGGACCAAAACAUCCAAGUAUGAAUAUCCCCUUAGCACACAAGUUAAAUUAUCGUCCCCGUUAUUUCCCGUCCCAAUAGCUUUAAGAUACGACUCUAAACAUCCAAUCCAACUGCAUAUAACCGGCAAAACAGAUAAAACAUCCAGCCAUGGAGGGGGUAUAAGCACAAAAUAAGAGAUUGGCUGUCUUCCCCUUAUGUUCGUGCCCAUCAGGUGGUAAGAUAAUACUCCAAGCCUCAGAUCCAACUGUAUUCACUAGACAGGACAAAAUAAAUCACCUAGGUUGCGAGGGGGUAAUAGAUCCAUGAAAUUAAAAAUCACAAAUUAGAUUAUCUUCCCCAUUAUGUUCGAUCUCAUUAAUAACUUCAAGAUAAGACUCCAAACACGAGAUCCAACUGCAUGCAAUGGACAAACCAAUGGAACAUCCAGGUGGGGAAUAAAAAUUAAACGAAAUAAAUAAAUCAUAUAUCAGAUUAUCUUCUCAAUUAUGUCUUCAUCCCAUCAGUCAUCCAAAUUGUAUAUAACAGACAAACCCUGAGCACACAAUAAAUAAAAAAAUCAAGUAUCUUUUCCAUUAUGCUUCAAUCCAUUCAAUAGUUUUAAGAUAAGACUCUAAACAUCAUAUCCAACUGCAUUUACUCAGGUCUCUUGCUUACGAGAGAGGUGACCUAUCCACAUGAUCCAUAAGAGGCUGAAGUCUAGUAAAAUUAGAUUUUCAUCUUUCCAGAAGUUAGCUUUAGAAAAUAGAGAUGAAACUAGCACAACUUCCUAAAGACCACAAAUCAAAGGUACCAAAUGGUUGAACGACCACAGUCAUUUUUGUUGCAAGUUUCUGCAAAUAGAAAGGAAAAACGACCACCACUCGCCGAUCAACACAGCCCAAUCCAUCCUAUGUAGCAACCAAACUUCUCAAAACAUAACACGAAAUUGUCAUACAAGCAAAUCGACGAAAAGACCGAGAAAUGCUAAAAGCUCAAAACACUUGCCUUCAUCCAGAAAACAAAUAAAAUCAGCCAACAAUCAGACCAGCGUGGGAAAACAUGAAUCAAAUCCAAACCACGGGAUAUUAAAACGCACAUCACUCCAUAACCAAACAUCAUAAAUAUCUUGCCGGAACAAUUAUCAUACAAACAAGACCAGCAAAACCACCCAAUCAGAACCACAAACAGACAGGAACGAAAGAGAUUUAGAUAAAAUACAAGGUAGAUUAUCUUCCCCAUUAAGUUUCCAUCACAUCUGUAGCUUUACAUAAGACUCUGAAGCUCAUAUCCAACUGCAUUUUCCAACCAUUUGCUUAAGCGAUAGGUGACCCUGUGCAAACGGUCCAAGGAUACAUUUAAGAUCAGAUUCGUCAUUCCAAUAGCACAUGUAGUUUCAGAGAGUAAAAUGGAACUACGACAACUUCCCUUAAACCACAAAAAAAAAGGGUACCGACUAGUAGGACGCCUAAAUAAAUUAUCUUCCUGCUUAGGCAAUAGAUGAUAAGCAAUAGAUGAACCUGUCCAAAGGGUACAUUAGCGCUUGUAAAAUCAAAUUUACUAAUCGACUUGCCGAGUCAGUUCAAAAUAAUAUUAGAUGGAACUAGCAACACUUUUCUUUAAACCCCAAAACAGAGGUCCACCAUCACUUUUGUUGCAAAUGCCUGCAAACAGAAAGUAAAAGAAGAACAGAGGAUUUAAAGAUUGAUUUGAAAGCAAUAUGACUGUAUAAAGUAGUAAUAUGAAUAUUGGACGAAAAGGUGACGGUUGAGGGAGACAUAAGAAAAUACUAUCUCAAUAGUGUACCGUAGACGCAUCUCACUAAGCCUUCAACCAGAAGCAAGAAAACAGUUAGCUUUAGAAAAACAAGGAACACUGAGUCUUCAAACGGCGUAAAGAAGAAGCAAUUCUUUAGAUGAGACAGAUUAAACAGGUAGAGACUCUUUCAUGGUAAUUAUAAGCAUGUACCAGAUACUCCGAUUCCCCUGAGCCAAAAACAUCUUACGUGGUAACCAAACUUCUCAGGACUCCACACAAAACUGUCAUAUAAGCAAAACAAGGAUAAGGAAAAAUACUCAAACUUGAAGCUUCGUCUUCUCAUGAUUUAUUAUUGUUUCCGUCGAAGUCUAUGUCAUCUCAUAAAAGAAAAUAGAAAAAAUAGUGAACCGUAACCAAACAUCAUGACACAUGCCGUAUCAAAAUCACCCAAAUAAGAACAGGAAAUACUAUGGUCGUAUAAAGUAAAAAUCUGAAAAUCGAAUGACAAGGAUGAUGAUCACAUUAAGAAUAUGUAAUCUGGAACUGAAAAAAUCAUAUCCAACAGUAGACUCCACUAGAACCCACUGAGCAACAUAUUACACAAUCAGAAACGAAAGAAAGAUCCAUACGCUAAUUAAAUCACAAAAUAAAUUAUCUUCCCAUCAGAUCGAACCGAGAUCUCUAGCUUAAGCAAUUGACGAUCCUAUCCACAGUAUUCAGGUGUACAUAAGCUCCUAUCCACACUAUCCAUGUGUGCGUAAGCUCUAGUAAAAUGAGAUCCAUCGUUCUACUUGCACAUUUAGCUUAGCUCCAUAAAAUAAAGAUGAGACGAAGCACAACCUUCCUGAAACCACAAAACAGAAAGUACCAAACAGUAAUAAAGCGAAUUGAUAGCCACAAAAAUGUUUGUUGGAAAUUUCUGCAAACAAGUAGGAAAAGCAGUAAAGGUAUUUAAAAUAGAUUAUAAAAAAACUUGUGAUAUAAAGUUAGAAAAAUAAGGAGGAUGAGGGAGAGAGAGAGAAAGCAAGAUUGAACCAUAUCUGGAACUGACGUGUCUCAGAGCUGAAUUCCUACUUUAAUACAACACCUGUGGAUCAACACAGUCCAAAGCAAAGGUCGAAAGUCGAGAAAUAUCAUAUCUUGCACAUAUAUAUAUCAUAAGGAGAAUCAAAUCUUAAUCGGCAGAACAGAGAGAAGGUUCUUCAUAUGAGACAAAUAGGUUGAACAUCCAGUGGCAGACGAAAGUUUACCGGACACUCUGUUUAGAAUUGUCAUAUAAACACAAUCAUGACGAGGGGAGAACAUACUCGUAUUCAAAGCGCUUUCUUCUACAAGGAAUCUUUUUGAGAAAAAAACAAAUCAGCCGAUUACCGAAACCCUGGCAAGAGAAAACACAAUCCAAACGCAAAACCCAUGUUAAUAAACCACUUGUUAAUGCAUACGAAAACCACACCUAAUACCUCGCCGGAUCAAAAUUACCAAAAUAAAACCAAUUCAGAAUCACAAUCAGACGAACGACCCCGAAUCCAUGACGAUCCAAUUGUCAAACCGGCAAAAUAACCCCAAAUAAAAUCAAAUCAGGACCACAAUCAGACGGUAUCGCGAAAGAGAAGAAAAAACACGCGACGGAUAAUCAUUGAAUUGAAUUGCGCAGGUUUCAUAGCGACGAUGAUACAUAUAAUCUAGAAAAACGGAGACGACAAAUAAACAAAAGCAAUAAUCAAACAAAACUCUAAAAUCCGCAGAUAACCAACAAAGACGAGAGACGAAGGAAUGAGUUACGGUUGUAGGAGGGGACGGGUAUUUAUAGAAGAGUCGGUGUUGAGUGGACGGCUGAGAUUAAUCGGAUCAAAGAUACCAAAUGGUUGGACAACCACCGUCAUUUUUGUCGCAAGUUUCUGCAAAUAGAAUUUGAAAUGUAAAAAAUAAUAGAUUAUGGAGGGAUUCAUAAGAAUAUAAAAUUUGGCAUCACUAUCGUACUCACCACCACUCGUUGUUCAACACAACCCAAAUCAUACUAUGUAGCAACCGAACUUCUCAACACAUAACACGACAUUGCCAUACAAGCAAAUUCACGAAAAGGCGGCGAAAAGCCCAAAGCUCGAAACACUUUCCUUUUUCCAGAAAUCCUAUGACCGCGCGGAAAACAAAAUCAAACCAGCCAACAACCAGACCAGGAUGGGAAAAUAUGAACCAAAUCCAAACCACGGGAUAUUAAAUUGCAUAUCACUCCAUCACCAAACAUCAUAAAUACCUUGCCGGAUCAAUUAUCAUUCAUAGAAGACCUUGACAGCACCACAGAGAAAAGAAACAUAUAAGACACGCUCCCGAUAAUUAGACUGUAAGACCAGCAAAACCACCCAAAUCAGAACCACAAACAGAAAGGCACGAAAGAGCUUUAGAUAAAACACAAGUUAGAUUAUAUUCCCCAUUAAGUAUCCAUCACAUCUGUAGCUUUACAUAAGAGACUCUGAAGCUCAUUUUCCAACGGUUUGCAAAGGGUCCAACGAUAUAUGUAAAAUCAGAUUCAACAUUCCUAUAGCACAUGUAGUUUCAGAUAUUAAAAUUGAACUAAGACACUUCCCUUAAGCCACAGAAGAAAGGUACUGACUGGUAGGACAGGUAAAUAAAUUAUCUUUCCGCGUAGUCAAUAGGCCAGAGUAAUGUAGAUGGAACUAGCAAAAACUUUCUUUAAACAGAAGGCCCACCAUCAUUUUUGUAGCAAAUGUCUGUAGACAGAGAGGAAAAGAAGAACAGGGGAUUUGAAGAUUGAUUUGAAAGUAAUAUGACCGUAUAAAGUAGUAAUAUGAAAAUUGAGGGAGCCGUUAGAAAAUACUCUCUCAAAGAAUCUGAGACGCAUCUCACUAAGCCACUACCUGCUGCCGAUCAACACAUUUUGCAACCAGAAGCAAGAAGGUUUUCAUGAGAUAAAUAAAUCAGAAAUUAAAUUAUCUUCCCCGUCAUGUUGUCCGUUAAUCAGACUCAACCUCAGAUCCAACUGCACUAAUCCAUCUUUUGCUGAAGCAAUGGGUUAUCCUGUCCAAAGAUGGAACUUCAGCAGACCCCCUAAAAUACACAAACAAAAGUUACCAAAUGGGAGGACAUCCACCAUCAAUUUUCGAGAGGAAAAGCAAAACCCGGAUAAGGAGAAAAUACUCAAACUUGAAGCUGUUUCUUCUACCAAAAAUCAUAUUUUAACCAUUUCCUUCCAAGUCUAUGCCAUCUCGUAAAAGAAAACCAAACCAACGGACAAGAGAAAUCAUAAUCCAAACCCACACAAUCGAAAAAUAGACAAAAUAGUGGCCGAUAAGGAAACAUCAUACCACAUGCCAUAUCAAAAUCACCCAAAUAGAUUUGAAAACAUAUGGUCAUAUUUCAAAAUUGAAUGAGAAGGAUGAUGAUUACAUAAGAAUAUACAAUCUGGAACUGACAAAAACUCACUGAUCGAUAAGCUAAUUAAAUCACAAAAUAAAUUAUCUUGCCAUCAUCAGAUCCAACCGAGAUCUCUAGCUUAAGCAAUUGGCGAUCCUAUCCACAGUAUUCAGUUGUACUUAAGCUCCUUAUCCAGGUAUACAUACGCUCUAGUAAAAUCAGAUCCUCAUUCUACUUGCACAGUUAGCUUAGCUCCAUAAAUAAACAUGAAACACAACCAACAAAACAGAAAGUACCAAAUAGUAAUAAAGUAGUAAAGCAGUAAAGGGAUUUAAAAGAUACAUUAAAAAAAUUGUGAUAUAAAGUUAUAAAGUUAGAAAAAUAAGGAGAGAGAGAGAGAGAGAGAGAGAGAGAGAGAGAGAGAGAGAGAGAGAUUGAAAUAUCUGGAACUGACGGGAGUUUCAGAGCUGAGUUCCUACUUUAUUACCACAACUGCGGAUCAACACAGUCGAAAGCAACGGUUGAAGGUCAAGAAAUAUCAUAUUGCACAUAUAUAUCAUAAGGAGAAUCAAAGAGAGGUUCUUCAGAUGAGACAAAUAGGUUGAACAUCCAGUAGCAGAUCAAAAUAGCAGUCAAAAGGACGAAACUUUACCGGACACUCUGUUUAGAAUUGUCAUAUAAACACAAUUAAGACAAAAAGGAGAACAUACUCGUAUUCAAAGCGCUUUCUUCUACAAGGAAUCUUGUUCAAACAAGGUUGACAAAAAAUCAAAUCAGCCGAUUACCAAACCCUGGCAAGAUAAAACACAAUCCAAUCGCAUAACGCCUGAUAAUAAACAAUAAUAGACAACUCGUUGAUACCAUACCUAAUACCUCGAAAAUCACCAAAAGAAAACCAAUUCAGAAUCACAAUCAGACGGCCUCGCAAAGAUACGACCCCAAAUCCAUGACGAUACGAUUGUCAAACCGGCAAAAUAACCCCAAAUAAAAUCAAAUCAGGACCACAAUCAGACGGCAUCACAAAAGUGAAGAAAAAAAACACGCGACGGAUAAUCAUUGAAUUGAAUUGCGACGCGACGGAUAAUCAUUGAAUUGAAUUGCGCAGGUUUCUGCAGGAAAAGCAGUAAAGGGAUAUAAAAGAGAUAUUAAAAACAAUUGCAAUCUAAAGUUAGAAAAGUAAGGAGGAUGAGGGAGAGAGAGAGAAAGCAAGAUUGAACAAUUUUUGGAGCUGACGGAUAUCUAAGAGCGGAGUUCCAACUUUAUUACCACACCUGUCGAUCAACAGGUUCCAAAGCAAAGGUCUAGGAAUAUCAUAAGGAGAAUCAAAUCUUAAGGAGCAUCAAAAUCACCACAGAAAAGCACAAUCAAACCCUCUCGCAAAGAGGAGAAAUUGUUAUACCGGCGAAAUCACCCAAAUAAAAUUAAACAGAACCACAAUAAGACAGGAAUCGGAUAAGAGAGAGAAAAAAAAAAAGUAUACAACUGAGAAGUACAAACCUUUUGCAAUUUCAGUUCCAAAAAUUUCAGAAUUUAAAAACUUUGGACACUUAUAUUCCACCGAUGACCAGUUGUGAAUCAGUUAAAAAAAAAAAAAAAAAAAGAGAGAGAGAACGAGAUCUAAGAAAACAAAGAUUACAAGUUAUUAUGAUUCAGAACUUAUUCAACAUUUCAACAUCCAUUUCAUGCAUGACGCAGAGACUAAAUCCCAUUUCUAACGAAAUUUAGAAAAAUGGGAAAAUUUCACAGUUAGAUUUUCUGUGCCAUCCUCCUUUACCCGGGCUUGGGACCGGCUGUGCUGAGCAAAUCUAGCAGGCACAGGUGGAGUUACAAGAAUAUACCUAUAUAUACAACUACCAACACUAAAACGCACACAUAAUCACACAUAGAUAUAAACCGUUCCAGAACAAAUAUUAAAGCUGAGAAAUAGUUUGAUUCAUAUACGAUAGUAGAUUGGAUAAAAGCUUAGUUACUUAUAAAAACUUUUGUACUCAUUUCAAUCAUUCAUUUCCCUUUUCUUUCUUCCAACUAUUGUGGAUAACAUUAGAGAUAAAAGGAAAUACCUCAUGUGAAAAAAAUUACCAAAGUCGUAUCCAAGAGGACAUAAAUUUUAUCAAAUGAGGUAAACUAAUACUCACAUAAUUACAUAUUAAAUUUCACGCACUUGAAAAUUCUCACAUAGUAGAAAUCACGAUGAAGAGCUGACCAAGAACUGUGCAGAAUGGUAAUCCAAAGAAUAUUCAGAAGAUUUUAAACAUCCUCAAAACAGCAGAGCAACAAAUCCAAAGUCUCCUCAUAAGAAUCACAACAUGCGAGCAGAAACAAGGCCCCAACAAUCAACUUCAAAUACUACUUGACAACUGAACAAGGUUUAUCAUUCUGAUAUGCAUAGUGCCAACUUAGCUUGUGUAGAAAAAUUGCCAGGAAGAAAAAACCAAGUCUUCGUAGGAUGCCUAUAACUCAAUGCAUAUAAACCAGAAAGAGAUGUUUAAGGCCACAAUAAAGAAUACUACUCACUUGAUCUGCAGAAGAAGCACGUUCCACACCAACUAAAAAGCACACACAAUUCCAGUGCCAAAUAAAAGAGAAACCGCUAGAAACAAAACUCUGCAUAAACCUUGCGAAGAAACCAAGGAACACCAUACGAAGGCACAUUGGGAGCGUCUUAUUGCUAUUCAUGAUCUCAUAUUUUGUAGUGAAAUUCAUGAGGCAAGUUAAUAUGAUAAAAGUGUAUCCUGGAAUUGAGAAAUUCAUGAUAGGGAUGAUUAACUGAAGACUGCAAAGAAAAAUAAAGAUAAUAAAAAAUCAUAGCUCCGGGAAAGCGAAGCACCGAAAGAUAAAAAGUUAAUAACCAACAAGUAAAAGAAGAGUCUAAAUGCUCGACACAUAGUUGGCAAAAGUUCAAUUAUGAAUAAGCUUUUUAGCCUCUAGUUUAAAGCCCAAUAGAAUAUCAAUGUCAACAUUCGUUUUAGUAGAUUACUUACAAAAGUGAAUUUUCGGACAAAUAGAGACUUCAGAAACUAGUGAACCUAGGAUGGCAUGUUAAUUAAGAAGAAUGCAAGAAACAGAUUUAAAAUGCCACUAUUGAAAAUGAAUUUUAUAUUCCGCAAGUUUAUGAAAAUAUAAAAUAAAAAUCCAAAUUCAAAUCAGUACAUUAUAACUUAUAAUUAUAUAAAUCUGGACAACUAGAAUCCUAAAAAACUCGAGGAAGAACAUAGAAAAUAGAUUAUAGGUAGUAGAAAGAAGUAAAAGAGUCGACGCAGAACAUGCAGCCAAAGCAGAGAUGAGGGAACUUUUUCCUUACUAUCAUGAAUUCUAACCAAUAUAUUAUAAACAGUUACAAUCUACCCGUCAUCAUCCAUAAACUACAAAUUAUAAUUUAUAACCUCUUCAAGAUUAGAAAAUUUUAUAAAUUAAAGAUUAUAGAUUAUAAAUUGCUAAUGUCUAUAUGUAGAAAAAUGAAAAAAAGUUAACUAGGAUUUCUGAGAGAACUAAAAUAAUCUCCAUGUUUUUUUUUUGGCGUAAUAAAGUUCACUAGGAUUUCAUCAGUGCUUUUGGGAGAUUGUGUUUCCUAUUAACUAAUCUUGGCAAGUAAGAAUGAUAUCAAAAUUUGCUUCCAAUGGCCAAAAAAGGGGUUUAGUUAAAGGAAAUAUAUCCAAAAAAGGGUGACGAUAUAAUUAAUAAUUAUUAAUUAAUCAAACCAGUUUAGGCGGAAAUAGGACAGACAAAUCAUAUACUUGCAGCCAAAAAACAGAUUGCCAUCAACAAAAAGUAAUGUAAAUAAGUAGUGUGAUAGAAAGAGCAAUUCAGACCAAUAUUUGUUAUCUUGAAGAAAUUCGUUAACCAAGAAACGUAAACAGGGUCAAUAGCUUACUUUGCUGGUUUCACUGCUUCACAUAAUGUAGAGUCCUUCAAAAAUGUUAACCCAAACCACCAAAUAAUAUAAUAACCACACUUAGGGUGAAAAAUCUUCUUAGAUCAAAGCCAUACAACAUCAACUCGAAUUAGAUCAAAGCACAAGUUCAGUACCAGCUCCAUGUAGGAAAGAUCUCCAAAGAUAAGAACUAUAAAACACAAGCACAACUCGCAAACACAACCCAGAAAUUUCAACGAACAAACUGCCGACAACAGAAAUAACUAAAGAAAUAGAGGAUGUUCAAUCAAACGAGUCUUGGCAAUCCAUUAAGAAGACGUAAGCUGAGAUAAAACCCUUAAAAGGCCUGAAAAUAUAAUACAAAUCGAAUUUCACCUACACCAAAUACGCUGGUUAAUGAAGUGAUGAUGAACGGUCAGAAAAUUCCAACGACAGAGAAUCGAUGGAGAGCAGUUAACAUAUGAUAGGGCCAAUCCCAUCUAGGUUCUCAAAAAAAGGCGAGCAAACCCCAAAACCGGAAGAACAUAGAGAUCAAACAACCAUAGGACUAAACUCAAUGGCAGGGAAGGAGAACAGACUUGUGGAAAUUUUCCAAAAUUCGAAAGCUUUAUCGAAUAUCAAGAAAAUAUCAAGACAAACUGUAUUAUUCUCCACAGCAAAGACAGAUUACCAGGGCCUUAAUGCAUAAUCAUACGUUCCAAUUCAGCCUAUUUUACCACAAAAAAGGAAAGCAAGUCCCAUAACCAGAAAAUACAUCAACUUCCCCAUUAUGUCGUGAUCGAAUCAGUAGCUUUAAGUCAAGACUAUAAACCUCAAAUCCAACUGCAUGCAAAGUUAAGAAAAAAUGAAACAGACGGGGACCGGGUAAACACAGAAGGUAAAAGAAGUCCGAUGAAAUAAAUAAAUCAUCAAUUAAAUCUUCCCCGUAAUGUACCGACCCAAGUAGCUUCCGACAAGAUUCUAAAAACCUCAGACCGAACUGCAAUUUAAAGGACAAAUCAGAUAUAAAAAUCAGGCAACAUCCAUGUAGGAAGGAGGGGUAUUUGAACACAAUAUGGAAAUAGUAGUCCUAUAAAAUAAAUAUAUCACUAAUUAUAUUAUCUUCCACAUUUAGGUAGUGAGAGAUAUUAGGACACAAAAAUUUAUAGUCAAUAAGAAACAACAAAAAUUAGAUCAUCUUCCCCGUUACGUCUCGAUCCCAACAAUAGCUUUAAGUAAGACACUAAACAAAGAACUGCAAGCAAUGGAUAACAAAAUGAAACAUCCAGAUAGGGAGGGUGAAUUAAGUCCCAUCAAAUGCUUCAGACAAAACUUUAAACCUCAAUUCCAACCGCAUCAUAGACAAGAGAGAACAGAACAUCCAGGUGGAAAAGGAUGUAUUAGUACAGAAUAAGGGAGUUUAAGUGCCAUGAAAUAAAUAAAUCAGAAUUUAGGUUAUCUUCCCCAUUACAUAUGAACUCCACCAAUAGCUUUAAGAUAAGAAUCUCAAGUUCAACUGCAUGCAAUCGGCAAGACAAAAUGGAACAUUCAGGUGGGGAGGGGAUAUUAGCACUAAAAUAGGGAAAUUCCCGUGAAAAAAAUCAAUCAUAUGUUAGAUCUUCCCCAUUAUGCCCCACCAAGUAGCUUUAGAUAAAACUGAACCUCUUACAGGCCGCGGCAAAACAAAAAAUCCAGGUGGGGAGGGAGCAUUAGCAUACAAUAAGCGAAUAGCAGUCCUAUGAAAUAAAUAACUCACAAGUUGGAUUAUUUUCCCCGUUAUUUCUCGUUCCCAUAGCUUUAAGAUACGACUCUAAACAUCCAAUCCAACUGUAUUCAACCAGACACAAAAUAAGAGAUUUGGCUGUCUUUUGACUCAAAUAGAUCGGAAAUUAGAUUAUCUUCCCCUUGUGUUUGUGACCUCUGAUCCAAAUGCAUUUACCAGACAGGACAGAAUAAAUCAUCUAAGCCGCGAGGGGGUGAUUAGCACGAAAUAGAACUAUGAAUUUAAAAACAAAAAUUAGUUCCCCAUUUGUUCGAUCCCAUUAGUAGCUUUAAGAUAAGACUCCAAACCCGAGAUCGACUGCAUGAACGAACCAAUGGAACAUCCAGGUGGGGAGGGGGCUUUAGCACACAAGGAAGGAAUAAAAAUGCAAACGAAAUACAUAAAUUAUAUAUUAGAUUAUCUUCCCAAUUUAUGUCUUCAUCCCAUAAUCAUCCAAAUUAUAUAUAACGGACAAACCCUGAGAUCUGAAUCCAACUGCAUUUGAUGGACAAGAAUGAAAAAAAAUUAAGAUGGCUGAGUGGGUGGAGGGAGGAUUGUGUGAGCACACAAUAAUUCAAAAAAUCAAUUAUCUUCUCUAAUAUGCUUCAAUCCAUUCAAUAGCUUUAAGAUAAGACUGUCUAAACCUCAUAUCCAGCCAGCUGCAUUUACUCAGGUCUUUUUCUUACGAGAAAGGUGAUCUGUUCACAUGAUCCAUAAGAGGCUAAAGUCUCGUAAAAUUAGAUUUUCAUCAUUCCAGUAGUUAGCUUUAGAAAAUAAAGAUGAAACUAGCAUGACUUCCUAAAGACCACAAAUCAAAGGUACCAAAUGGUUGGACAACACCGUCAUUUAUGUUUCAAGUUUCUGCAAAUAGAAAGGAAAAACGAAAUAGGAUUUGAAAUGUAAAAAAUAAUAGAUUAUGGAGGGAUUCAAAGAAUAUUAACUUAACAUCACUAUCGUACUCACCACCACUCGUCGAUCAACAGUCAACACAGCCCAAACCAUCUUAUGUAGCAACCGAACUUCUCAAAACAUAACACAAAAUUGUCAUACAACCAAGCAAAUUCACGAAAAGACGGAGAAAUGCUCAAAGCUCGAAACACUUUCCUUUACCCAGAAAUCCUGACCGCGCAGAAUUAAAAAAAAAAAAUCAAACCAGCCAACAACCAGACCAAGAUGGGAAAACAUGAACCAAAUCCAAACCACAUGAUAUUAAAUUGCAUAUCACUCCAUAAGCAAACAUCAUAAAUACCUUGCCAGAUCAAUUAUCAUUCAAAGAAGACCUAGACAGCGCCACAGAGAAAAGAAACAUAUAACAGAGGCUCCCGAUAAUUAGACUGUAAGACCAGCAAAACCACCCAAAUCAGAACCACAAACUGAUAGGCACGAAAGAACUUUAGCUAAAACACAAGUUAGAUUAUCUUCACCAUUAAGUAUCCAUCACAUCUGUAGCUUUACAUAAGAGACUCUGAAGCUCAUUUUCCAACGGUUUGCUUAAGAAAUUGGUGAUCCUGUGCAAAGGGUCCAAGGGAUACAUGUAAAAUCAGAUUCAUCAUUCCUAUAGCACAUGUAGUUUCAGAUAGUAAAAUUGAACUACGACACUUCCCUUAAGCCACAAAAGAAGGGUACUGACUGGUACGCCAGAGUAAUGUCUGCAGACAGAAAGCAAUAUGACCGUAUAAAGUGUAAUAUGAAAAUUGGACGAAAAGGUGAUAGUAGGGAGACAUUAGAAAAUACUCUCUCAAAGAAACUGCCGAUCAACACAUUUUGCAACCAGAAGCCAGAAAUUUUUUAUGAGAUAAAUAAAUCAGAAAUUAAAUUAUCUUCCCCAUCAUGGCGUCCGUUAAUAAACUCAACCUCAGAUCCAACUGCACUAAUCCAUCUUUUGCUGAAGCAAUGGGUUAUCCUGUCCUAAGAUGGAACUACCGCAGACCCCUAAAAUACACAAACAAAAGUUACCAAAUGCGAGGACAUCCACCAUUAAUUUUCGAGAGGAAAAGCAAAGCUGGGAUAAGGAGAAAAUAUUCAAACUUGAAGUUGUUCCUUCUACCAAAAAUCAUAUUUUAACCAUUUCCUUCGAAGUCUAUGCCAUACAUGAAGUAGUACAUUAUCUGACAAACUAAAAGCACAAACAACUCCAGUGCAAAAUAAAAGAGGAACUAAUAGAAAUAGCAUCCAAACGCCUUAGAUGAAGACACAUUUGGGGGCUUAUUGCAAGUCAUUAUCUCAUAUUUUGUAGUGAAGUUCAUGAGGCAAGUGGAUAUGAUAAAACUGUCUCCCGGAACCAAGAAAUUCGUGAUAGGGAUUAACCGAAGACUGUCAAAGAAAAAUAAAGUAAACAAAAAAAAUCACAGCUCCGGAAAAGCGAACCACCCAAAGAUAAAAAGUCAAUAACCAACAAGCAAAAGAAGAGUCAAAAUUCCUAACACAUAAUAGGCAAAAGUUUAGUUAUGAAUAAGAAAUGUCAACACUCGUUUUAGUAGUCAUAUCAAAUUGCAAUUUUACUUGGUAAAGUGAAUUUCGGACAGAUAAUUAUAAUCAAAACUUAUGGAUUGAAACUGGUGGACCUAGGAUGGCAUGUUAAUUAAGAAGAAUGCAAGAAACAUGUUUAAAAUGCACCAUCAAAAAUAAAUUUUAUAUGCAGCAAGUUUAUAAAAAUAUAAAAUAAAAAAUUCAAAUUCGAAUGAGUACAUUAUAAUUUAUAAUUUAUGAAUUAUAUAAAUCUUGAUCAAUAGAAUCCUAAAAAAACUAGAGAAGAACAUAUAAAAUAGGUUAAAUGUAGCAGAAGGAAGCAAAAGACUCCAUGCAGAUCAUGCAGCCUAAGCAGAGAUUAGGGAAUUUUAUCCUUAGUGUAACCAUAUCAUAUAGAAAAUUCUAGCCAAGAUAUUAUAAACAGAUAAUUUCUAGGCAAGAUAUUAUAAACAGAUAAAAUCUAGCCGCAAUCAUCCAUCAAUUAUAAUUUACAAUUUAAAUUAUCCUAUUCAAGAUUAGAAUAUUUAAUAAAUUAAAGAUUCUAGAUUAUUCGAUUACAAAAAGAGAGUAGAGCUAUAUAUGUCAUUAUGAUUACCUUAAUUCCUGCUAAGAAAACUGAGAAACCAGCAUAACACCAUCAACUCAGCAACCAAACUCUACGAGGUACUAGGAAGACGAACCCGAGCAUAGAUAAAUAUGUUUUACUGAACAAUAAAUAUACAGCACAAAAAGCCACAAAAAGAAACCAAAGGACAUGGAGACAAAGUUCAAGAAGCUACACGUAAUUGGAUUUGCCUAUUGUUAAAGUUAUCAAAUGGCAUAAAUAAUUGUUAGUAUAGUAGUUCAAAAUUCAGAUAUGUAAUAUAUUUCGCUAAUGUCUGUGUACAGAAAAAUGAAAAAAGCCAACGAGGAUUUCUGAGAGAAAUAUAUAAUCUCCAUGUUUUUUUCGCAUGAUAAAGUUAACCAGGAUUCAUCGGUGCUUUUGGGGCCUCGUGUAUCCUAUUAACUAAUCUUGGCAAGUACGAAUGAUAUCAAAAUUUUCUUUUAAAGGCCAAAAUAAAAGGUUUGGUCAAGCGAAAUAUGUCCAAAAAAGGGUGAUCUGCUAGCAAUCAAAACAGCACUUUGAUGAUAUAAUUACUAAUUAAUCAAACCAGUUUAGGCAGAAAUAGGACAGACAAAUCAUAAAGUUAAUUAAAAUGCAAACGGUAAGUAAACCUACGUCUGUUUUAAGCAGAGAAUAGAAAUCAAGGACAGAUCAGAAAGCACAAGACAAUGAAACAUCGAUGUAGUGACGAGGUAACAGAAGUCCUCUGAAAUAAAUAAAUCACAAAUUAGUUGUCUUCCCCAUUGUGCCUUUAGACAAGACUUUAACCUCAGAUCCAACUGCAUUUAAUAGACAAGAUAGAAAAAAAGCACAUAAGGUAAUAGAAAUACUAUGAAAUAAACAAAUCACAAAAUGCGCCAACUUCCCCAUUAUGUCGUGAUCCAAUCAGUAGCUAAGACUCUAAACCUCAAAUCCAACUGCAUGCAAAGUUAAGAAAAAAUGAAACAGACGGAGGGUAAAAAAACACAGAAGGUAAAAGAAGUCCUAUGAAAUAAAUAAAUCAUCAAUUAGAUCUACCCCUUUAUGUCCCGACCCAAGUAGCUUCCGAUAAAACUGCAAUUUAAAGGACAAAUCAGAUUACAAAGGUGGUGUUUGCAAAUGAUUAUUAAAAGCAGAAGUUAGUGAUUGUGAGUUAAGUCAGUUUUAAGUGCUUAUUUCUAAAAGUUGGGGGUGUUUUCAAAUAUUCCGGCAAAUGAACUUAAAUAGAAAAAGCUCAAAGAAGAUUAUUUUAAGAGAAGCAAAAGCAAAAUUAGAUUUCGCAAACACCUGAAAACAGAUUAUGAGUAAAAAAAGCUCAUAAUCACUUUCAAAAAGCGUUUACAAACACCACCAAAGUCAGGCAACAUCAAUGUAGGAAGGGGAUAUUAAAACAACAUGUAAAUAGUAGUCCUAUGAAAUAAAUAUAUCACUAAUUAUAUUAUCUUCCCCAUUAUGUCGCGAUCCGUUGCCAGCUUUUCUCACAUCCAACUGCAUUUACCAGACAAUAAAACAUCUAGGCAGUGACACAAAAAGGUGACAGAAUUCCUAGGAAACAAAUAAAUGAAAAUUAGAUCAUCUUCCCCAUUAUGUCUCGAUCCCAACAGGUAAGACACUAAACUCAGAACAACUGCAAGCAAUGGACAAGACAAUGACACAUCAAAGUAGGGAGGGGGAAUUAGCAAACAAGAAGUAAUAGAAGUCCUAAGAAAUAAACAGAUCACAAAUUAGUUAUCUAUCCCAUUAACUCUUUGUCCCAUCAAUGGCUUCAGCAAAACUCUAAACAUCAGAUCCAAUUGCAUUUACCAGGAAUGACGAAAUAAAACAUUUAGGUAGUGACAGAUAUUAGCAAACAAAAAGGUUAGAGUCACUAAGAAACAAAUAAAUAAACAAUUAGAUCACCUUCCACGUUACGUCUCGAUCCCAACAAUAGCUUUAAGGUAAGACACUAAACUCAGAACAACUGCAAUCAAUGGUAAACAGAAUGAAACAUCCAGGUAGGGAGGGUGAACAAAUCAUAAAUUAGUUAUCUUCCUCGUUUUAUCUCUGUCCCAUCAAUGGCUUCAGACAAGACUCUAAACCUCAAACCAAACUGCAUGUCAUAGACAAGGGAGAACAUAAAAUCCAGGUGGAGAGUGGAUGUAUUAGCACAGAACAAGGGAGUAUAAGUGCCCGCGAAAUAAAUAAAUCAAAAAAUUAGAUUAUCUUCCCCAUUAUGUAUGGACUCCACCAGUAGCUUUAAGAUAAGAAUCUAAACCUCAAAUUCAACUGCUGCAUGCAAUGGAACAUUCAGGUGGGGAGGGAGCAUUAGCACUAUAUAAGGGAAUAGCAGUCCUAUGAAGUAAAUAGCUCACAAUUUAGAUUAUCUUCCCCGUAGCUUUAAGAUACAACUCUAAACCUCCAAUCACAGCUGCAUUUAACGGCAAAACAGAACAAAACAUCCAGGUAUGCCCAUUAGCACAAAAUAAGAGAUUGGCUGUCUUAUGACUUAAAUAGAUCCCAAAUUAGAUUAUCUUCCCCUUAUGUUUGUGCCCAUCACAGCUGUUAAGAUAAGACUCCAAACCUCAGAUCCAACUGCAUUUACCAGACAGGAGGACAGAAUAAGAUUAGCACGAAAUAGAACUCUGAAAUUAAAAAAACACAAAUUAGAUCAUCUUCCCCAUUAUGUUCGAUCCCAUUAAUAGCUUUAAGAUAAGACUCCAAACCCGAGAUCCAACUGCAUGCAAUGGACAAACCAAUGGAACAUCCAGGUGGGGAGGGGGCAUUGGCACACAAGAAAGGAAUACAAAUGCAACAAAAUAAAUAAAUCAUAUCUCAGAUUAUCUUCCCAAUUUAUGUCUUCAUCCCACCAGUCAUCCAUAUUGUACAUAACAGACAAACCCUGAGAUGCAUUUGAUGGACAAGAAAGAACCAAAAAAUAAGCUCACAAUAAAUCAAAAAGCUCAUAUCCAAAAGAACCAAAAAAUAAGCUCACAAUUAAUCAAAAAGCUCAUAUCCAACUGCAAGUCUAGUAAAAUUAGAUUUUCAUCAUUCCAGUAGUUAGCUUUAGAAAAUAACUUCCUAAAGACGACAAUCAAAGGUACCAAAUGGUUGGACAACCACCGUCAUUUUUGUUGUAAGUUUCUGCAAAUAGAAAGGAAAAACGAAAUAGGAUUUGAAAUAUAAAAAAGAAUAGACUAUGGAGGGAUUCAUAAGAAUAUAAAACUUGGCAUCACUAUCGUACUCACCAGCACUCGUUGUUCAACACAACCCAAAUCACUAUCGUACUCACCACCACUCGUUGUUCAACACAGCCCAAAUCAUACUAUGUAGCAACCGAACUUCUCAAAACAUAACAAGAAAUUGCCAUAUUCACGAAAAGAUGGAGAAAUGCCCAAAGCUCGAAACACUUUCCUUUUUCCAGAAAUCCUAUGACCGCGCGGAAAACAAAAUCAAACCAGCCAACAACCAGACCAGGAUGGGAAAAUAUGAACCAAAUCCAAACCACGGGAUAUUAAAUUGCAUAUCACUCCAUAACCAAACAUCAUAAAUACCUUGCCCGAUCAAUUAUCAUUCAUAGAAGACCUUGACAGUACCACAGAGAAAAGAAACAUAUACGACACGCUCCCGAUAAUUAGACUGUAAGACCAGCAAAACCACCCAAAUCAGAACCACAAACAGAAAGGCACGAAAGAGCCUUACAUAAAACACAAGUUAUAUUCCCCAUUAAGUAUCCAUCACAUCUGUAGCUUUACAUAAGAGACUCUGAAGCUCAUUUUCCAACGGUUUGCAAAGGGUCCAAGAUAUAUGUAAAAUCAGAUUCAUCAUUCCUAGAGCACAUGUAGUUUCAGAUAUUAAAAUUGAACUACGACACUUCCCUUAAGCCACAGAAGAAAGGUACUGACUGGUAGGACAGCUAAAUAAAUUAUCUUUCCGCUUAAUCAAUAGGCCAGAGUAAUGUAGAUGGAACUAGCAAAACUUUCUUCAAACAGAAGGCCCACCAUCAUUUUUGUAGCAAAUGUCUGCAGACAGAAAGGAAAAGAAGAACAGGGGAUUUGAAGAUUGAUUUGAAAGUAAUAUGACCGUAUAAAGUAGUAAUAUGAAAAUUGAGGGAGCCAUUAGAAAAUACUCUCUCAAAAGUCAAAGAAUCUGAGACGCAUCUCACUAAGCCACAACCUGCUGCCGAUCAACACAUUUUGCAACCAGAAGCAAGAAAUUUUUCAUGAGAUAAAUAAAUCAGAAAUUAAAUUAUCUUCCCCGUCAUGUCGUCCGUUAACAAGACUCAACCUCACAUCCAACUGCACUAAUCCAUCUUUUGCCGAAGCAAUGGGUUAUCCUGUCUACAGAUGGAACUACCGCAGACCCCCUAAAAUACACAAACAAAAGUUACCAUAAAAGGACAUCCACCAUCAAUUUUCGAGAGGAAAAGCAAAGCCGGGAUAAGGAGAAAAUACUCAAACUUGAAGUUGUUUCUUCUACCAAAAAUCAUAUUUUAACCAUUUUCUUCGAAGUCUAUGCCAUCUCAUAAAAGAACCAAUCAACGGACAAGAGAAAACAUAAUCCAAACCCACACAGUCAGAAAAUAGACAAAAUAGUGGCCCAUAAGCAAACAUCAUACCACAUACCGUAUCAAAAUUACCCAAAUAGAUUUGAAAACGUAUGGUUAUAUUUCAAAAUUGAAUGAGAAUGAUAAUGAAUACAUAAGAAUAUACAAUCUCGAACAGACAAAAACCCACUGAUCCAUAAGCUAAUUAAAUCACAAAAUAAAUUAUCUUCCCAUCAUCAGAUCCAACCGAGAUCUCUAGCUCAAGCAAUUGGCGAUCCUAUCCACAGUAUUCAGUUGUACAUAAGCUCCUAUCCACAUUAUCCAGUUGUACAUACGCUCUAGUAAAAUCAGAUCCUCGUUCUACUUGCACAGUUGGCUUAGCUCCAUAACUAAAGAUCAAGCACAACCUUCCUAAAACCACAAAACAGGAAGUACCAAAUAGUAAUAAAGUAGUAAAGCAGUAAGGGAUUUAAAAGAUACAUUAAAAAAUUGUGACAUAAAGUUAGCAAAAUAAGGAAGAUGAUGGGGAGAGAGAGAGAAAGCGAGGUUGAACAAUAUCUGGAACUGACGGUUGUCGAGCCGAGUUCCUACUUUAAUACCACACCUGUGGAUGAACACAGUCCAAGCAAAGGUCGAAGGUCGAGGAAUAUCAUACUGUACAUAUAUAUGAUAAGGAGAAUCAAAUCUUAAUCAGCAGAACAGUGAGAGAAGUUUCUUCAGACGAGACAAAUAGGUUGAACAUCCAGUGGCAGAGAAUCAAAAGGACGAAACUUUACUGGACACUCUGUUUAGAAUUGUCAUAUAAACACAAUUACCACAAAAAGGUAUUCAAAGCGCUUUCUUCUACAAGGAAUCUUGUUCAAACAAGGUUGAGAAAAAAAUCAAAUCAGCCGAUUACCAAACCCUGGCAAGAGAAAACACAAUCCAAACGCAAAACCCAUGAUAAUAAACCACUUGUUAAUGCAUAACCGAAAACCAUACCUAAUACCUCGCCCGAUCAAAAUCACCAAAACAAAACCAAUUCAGAAUCACAAUCAGACGGCCGGGGAAAGAUAUGCCGGCGAAUCCAUAACGAUACGAUUAUCAUACCGGCAAAAUAACCCCAAAUAAAAUCAAAUCAGGAACGGAUAAUCAUUGAAUUGAAUUGCGCAGGUUUCAUAGCGACGAUGAUACGCGACGGAUAAUCUAGAAAAACGGAGACGACAAAUAAACAAAAGCAAUAAUCAAAAACAAAACUCUAAUACUCAGAUAACCAACGAAGACGAGAGACGAAGGAAUGAGUUACGGUUUGUAGGAGGGGACGGGUAUUUAUAGAAGAGUCGG
rnacentral:lncRNA from 1 species